GUGGAAAUGAAAAAGUUAGGAGAGAACAUGGUUAAAGAUUGUGCAGGGCUUCCAUUAGCCAUUGUUGUAUUGGGAGGAAUUUUGGCUACAAAGAAUAAUUCAUUAAACGAAUGGCAAAAGAUAUCUGACAAUUUAAAAUCAUACUUGAAGAGAGGCAAAAAUCAAGGACCAGAGGAUGUGUUAGCAUUAAGUUAUGAUGAUUUGCCUCCCUAUCUAAGACCAUGUUUCCUCUAUCUAAGCCUUUUUCCGGAGGAUUAUAUGAUAGAUGUGGAUAGAUUGAUUCAAUUAUGGGUUGCUGAAGGUAUUGUGUCAUCAAAGCAAGAAGAAAGAGACGGUGGGGAAAUUGCGGAAGAUGUGGCGGAAUCUUAUUUAAUGGAGCUUGUGGAAAGGUGCAUGAUUCAAGUACGAGAAAGAGAUGUGGCAACCUUAAAGGUCAAAACAAUUCAGAUGCAUGAUCUGAUGAGAGAUCUUUGCUUAUCAAAGGCAAAACAAGAAAAUUUUGUCUUCAUUGUCGAUCAAUCAAAUGCAUCUUCAUUAUCUAUGAUUCGGAAGGUCCGUAGGGUUUCUGUGCAUGAGUUUUUUUUUCAUACAAUGCAUUAAAAGUCCAAAUAUUCGGUCACUUUUGUUCUUCAAUGAGUUCUUUCCGGAGGAGGAAUUAGACAAAUCUUUUCCCUUGGAAGUGUUGAAUUCACUGUAUUUGAUUCUUAUGAUUUCGCGAGCUGGUAUGGGACUCCUUAAAAUUCGGGGAAUUUAGAGAUACAUGUUCAACAACUUCCAAUUGCUAAGAGCCCUAAACUAUGAGAGAACAACAGGUGAUCGUUUUGCAGGGUUUAAGUUACCUAGUGAUAUAGGUAAUCUCAUCCAUUUAAGAUUCUUGAGUCUAAAGGAUCUUGAGUUCUUAUGGCCAAAGUUGCCAUCAUCUCUAGGAAACUUAAGGUGCUUGCAAACCUUGGAUUUAAGAGUUGAUCGUGACAAAAUUCAUGUACCUAAUGUGAUAUGGAGGAUGGAGCAACUAAGACAUUUAUAUCUCCCUUCGAGAUGUGAAAGCAGUACUAAGUUGAAGUUGGGUACUUUGAGAAAACUCCUAACACUUGUGAACUUCAACACCAAGAAUUGUUAUCUGAAGGAUCUUAUCAACAUGACAAAUCUUAGAGAGUUGGGGAUAAAUUUGCCCUUCAAUAUUGAAAAUUUCAAUGAGGAGUUGGGCGAGAAUCCACCCAUAAUCGGAAGUAAAUAUCUUCAUUCCUUGUCUAUUAUUACCUCUGGGUACGAAUCAAUAGAUCCAAGACAUUUGGCCCAUCUCCUUUCAAAUUGUACAAGUAUUUGCAAGUUGAGUAUAGCAGCAGAGAUAAGUAAGUUACCAGAGUAUCACUACUUCUCUUCACAUCUCACUUACNNNNNNNNNNNNNNNNNNNNNNNNNNNNNNNNNNNNNNNNNNNNNNNNNNNNNNNNNNNNNNNNNNNNNNNNNNNNNNNNNNNNNNNNNNNNNNNNNNNNNNNNNNNNNNNNNNNNNNNNNNNNNNNNNNNNNNNNNNNNNNNNNNNNNNNNNNNNNNNNNNNNNNNNNNNNNNNNNNNNNNNNNNNNNNNNNNNNNNNNNNNNCUCUUCAGCGAUUGGAUAUCAGGCAUUGCCCAAGCUUGAAGAUGCUUCCAGAGGGAUUGAGCUCCAUUACAACCCUCAAAGAACUGAAGAUUGAAUCAAUGCCAAAGGCAUUCAAAGAAAGAUUGGAGAAAGGAGGAGAAGAUUUCUACAAAGUCGAACAUGUUCCUUCUAUCAUAUUCCAAAACAUCUGGUAGAUUGACUGAUAAUUGAGAGGUAAUUUCAUAACCUCUAGUUUAGGAAAUGAUUCCUACUUUCUUUGCUUCUUAUAUAUCUUUCGUUUUUGACAUUGUCUCACAUUCUCACUCCAUUUGUCAACACACCAAUGAAUAAUUACAUUUAUUAAAAGUUAAAGGAAGUCGGACAUUGAUCUUUUUAGUUUUGCUUUUCAGGUAAAGACGCCAUUUUUUCACCAGCUACUGCUAUUCACGGGAUCAAAUCUAGAUUUAAAACUCCUAUUAUAAGUGGCGUGUGAAAGUGUGUUAUAUUGUGAGAUUUGGAAUUAUCUUCUCGCUUGUUGACAUCAGACUGGUUGAAUGUUUGUUAUUUUCUUCAAAUUACAAUAAAAAGGUUGCAAGAUAAGGUACGGGAAGAAAGGGAGGUGUCUGGAUUAGCAAGGUACCAAACCCACAUAGCUUUGGUUUACGAUCACCAUUCCUAUCUUUAUUUGUUAGCUUUGCUUUCUCUUUUUAUUUUUUUCUUUUUUUAUCUGUACUUAAUGUAAUAUUAGAAGAGAAGGCAGGACCAUGCUUUUCUAGUUCCAUUGUAAAAUUCAUCACUUCGUUGUCAAUGUUCAUUUCUACUCUUCAGUUUUACUUAAAUAUAAUUGUUUGAUAUAUAUAUAUAUUUAUAUAUAUAUAUAUAUUUGAAUAUGGAUACACGAUAAGAGAAUAUAAUAUUUUUAAUAUUUUCUGUCAUCCUUAACUCAAUAAUCUUUGUUAAGAUAUUAUACCAGGUUCAAUGGUUGCACUUCAUCCCACACUUUCAAAGCAAAAAAUAGGAAAAAUUAAAUAUUACCAACUAAUAACACUUCCAAAUUACAUUGUCUUACAAAAAAAAAAAAGAUACAAUUUGAAUUUUUUUAUCAACAUUUGAUGGUUUAGCAAGCUAUGCUUUAUAAAAGGCAAAGGAAUCUAAGGGAAAAAAAGAUUCCAAUUCAAGAUUUUGUAUCCCCAUGCUUUGCUUCUUAUAUCUACCAACAAUAUCUUGAUGAUAAUAAACUAAAAAAAAAAAAAAAUUCAAGGGAAUCAAAGAUUUCAAAUCCAACUUAAUCGAUUGAAAAUUUCACAUCCACUUAAUUAUUUCAAAUGAUAUUUAUUCAAUAAGUUUAAAUCAAAAACCACAAGAAUCCCCAUUUAUCUUUUAUUCAAAAUGUAAAUCGGAUUCAAUGAAAAUAUUGAACAUAUAAUGUGUGCACAUGGAAAUGUCCAAAUCUUUAAAUAUAGGGUCGACAUGGGAGAAAUCUCCUAAAGAUUUAUAAAAUUCAAUAUGAUCCUAUUAUUUUCGUUAUAAAACUCAAUAUCUUAUUCGGAUUAGGAUACGAGCGAAUAACAGAUAACUAUUUGUAGUUCAAGGUGUGAUAAAAUCUCAGUAGCUAAGAUAUGAAUGUUGCAAAAUACCAUACAAAAUCACAGCCACAUUUGUUAGUAUGACUAUUUUGGGUAAUCAAAGGAAAAAAAUGUUAGCUGUUGAGCAAACAAGGUGAACAGAUUAGAUAUUCCAAUUACGUUCAAGCACUUGACAAAUCCUUUCUGCAAUGGCUUCAGCACGCAUCCUAGGACCUUCAUCAGCUGCAAAAACCGACCAUUUCUAACAACUAAGCUAACAUCACACAUGAUAAUAUAUGUAUAUAACUUAUAUAGAAGAUGAUUAUGUGGAUUAAAAGCUAUGCUAGUUUGACUCAAUACAUGACCAUGGGACAUGCUCGAUUCAUCAAUAACGAUAUGAAAAUACUUGGAAGAAAAAUUAAAUACAUCAAUAUCUAACAUUUACAUCUGAGUUCGAGUAAAGAAAACAUGUCAUUCAAUCUAAACAUGCAAAAUAUCCAAAACUCUUGAUGAGUGUUAGAUAAAAAUAUGUAGAAUGUACCCAAAAUACCCAUCUCGAACUCAGUAGAGAAAUAUCUAGCACUCAAAAGACACUACCUUCAACCAAGAACAAGCAAGUUUCUUCAAAGGCUUGAUAUACUUUCUUCACAGCCAUAUAUAUGUUCAUAUACCCAUAUUAAGGAUGAUUGUUUUGGCAAAGAGGAUGAAAAGAUAGAAAGAAAACCUUUAAUCCAAUGACAAUAUUUGAUUAUAACAACAUGACACAUAUAAUUGUGAUUAAAAUUGCGGUCACAAAUACGUUUGCAAUCACAUCAUGUUAAUGAAUACUAUUGCAAUCAAUUGCAAUAAAUAUCCACAACAACACGAGCCACAAUCCUAAAACAACAAAGAUAAUACAUUACAGCUGUUAAGGAAUUUUCAAUAACGUAUAUACCUGCAAGAUUUUCAGUGAUGACACAAUAAAAUUCACCACCAGACAACUUCCCAAUCUAAUGAAAUUUUCAAACAUAUCAUGUCAUAAGUUUCAAGAUCAACUGAAACAUGCGGAUACCAAGUAUGAUAAGAAAUUAAAUUAAGGAUUUUCUACUGCAAACCUACCACGAAAACAUAAUUUUUAUUAGGAUCAAAGGCAUAGCCCAUCAUGGCAGCAUUAUUGAGUCCAUUUUCAGAGGAAAAUCCUGAAACAUGUUACAGGCAAAUAUUAAGAAAAACAACGCACAAGCAUAAGUAUAAAAAACCUAGCAUGUAAGAAAUCAAUACUUGAAAGGACUAAAAUCACUGCUAACCUAAGACAUUGAAUCUAGCACCACUAGGAAACAUCCGAAAUGAUACUUGUCUUUCAAUGUUGAGAUACAUAGGUCCAAGUCUGCCAUGUUGCGCCAAACGGGAAUUCAUCAACCUCUUGAGAACCUAAAGGAUGAAAAGUUCCAGUCCAAGUUAUAUAUAUACAGACACACACACAGAUAGACAUGAAGAAAGUGGGUUAAUGGUGUAUUAUUUAAGUAAAGAAAAAGUUGAAAUCUUGAACCUCUAAAUAUUGGGUAACAGCGAGUGUUAAAAGUGCAUAAAGUUCUGCUAUUAUCUACAAGAAACAAUGGAGGAAUCACAUACAUUGUUUAUAUUCACUUUUGUUGCUACACAAGCAAGCUGAGUCCAUAAACAAAGGCAUAUCUUUUUCUCCGUUUUUAAAUGGUUUUCUUGUUUUUCGGCUGCUUUUUAUAUUAAGAGACAGAGAUUGUGAGACCUCGUCAUUCUCAAGGAGAAAGUGGUCAAGCAUGAAGAUGAUGGGAAGACCACGAGUCGAUGGUGGUCGAUCCAUGAGUUGAUUAUGAAUAGUUUCAUGUUAUUAAAUAAAAAUGUUAGCUAAAGUUAGUCGAACGCUGUGUUUUAGGGCCGAGGGUUUAAUGAAACUAUAAGUUUUGAUGUUGAAUAAAAAUGGUGCGUAUUGACUGUUUGUUACAGCUGCUCGAGGAACAGCCCUAUAACAGACUUUGUAGCUGCCAAUUCUCAGCCAUAAUAGAAACUGGCAUGGGAAAUGAGCAGAUAUGCCAUUUUGUGAAGGAAAUCAAUUCUUUCUUCUUCCUCGAUUCUCUUUCUCUUCUCUCUUUUUCUUUCUUCCUCUAUUCUGUUGAAAUUAUGCAUCACUUCACCAGCAUUCAUCAUUGUGGACGUAUCUGAUCUUCAGUCUCUGGUUUACUGCCCAUGUAAAGUUAUGGAAAGGAAUGCAAAUUUAAAAGGUUUUCUUGCUAUAGUCUAUGCAAUUUCAUGUGUGGGUGAAAGGAGAUGAAGAUUAAUAGAGUAAUAUUGAUAUACCAACAAUUCAUUAAUUGAAGUACUAUCAAUAUUAUCAACAAGUAACAGAAUUAAGUGAGUACACUAAUAUAGUCUAGAAAAACAAUUUAAUUAAUAAUACCAUAGGGAUGGCAACGGGGUUAAGUUGCUAUUGCUAUUCAUAUCCCUGCCGCUAGCUUUUGACGACUUCACCAAGUAAACUGCAAUCACAAUUGUUGUUCUUAUUACCUGCAAAAACACAGCCAACAAUCUGAAUCCAUAUCCCCAUUUUAGGAACAAAUGCAUGGUGUACCAUUUGUUUCGAAGCCAAAUCAAUUUUCUUAUUUUUUCUUGAAGUAAAACCUUAUCUGACACUUAUAUUCAACACAUAUUCAUGUAUUGGUAUGAAGAUAUGACACUCUUAUCCUAUACUCGUAUCCGUGCUCAGGUAACAUAAGCUGAACCCGCAAGAUAACUGAUUUAACAUCGCAUUGCUGCUAGCUAUUGAUGAUUCCACCAAGUAAACUGCAAUCACAAGUGUUGUUCUUAUUCCUUGCAAAAACACAGUCAACAAUCUGAAUCCACAUUCCCAUUUUCGGAACAAAACCAUGGCGUACCAUUUGUUUCAAAGCCCAAUCAACUUCCUUUACCAUCUUCCCCUUACAAAAACCAUGAAUCAACUUCUUGUAUGAAUCAAAACUAGGAUUAACCCUCUCGAAAACCAUUCUCCCUAUAAUCUCCUUUGCUUCCAUAAACCUCGCAGCAUCAAGCAAACCGUACAACACCUCUUGAUAAGACCCUGCAUUGGGAUAACACCCUUUCUUUUUCAUAAUUUCCAACAGCUUCACACCUUCAUCAGUCCUACCUUGUUUCCUAAGACCUGAGAUCAAGAUAUUAAAGCUAACAGCAUCAGCAUCGAUUCCUUCCGUUUCCAUCCUCCCCAUCAACUCAAAAGCUUCAUCAACCUUCCCCUUAUCGCACAACCCGUGCAUUAAAGUAGAAUAAGUUCUAACAUUAGGCUUACACCUUUGUUUAGGAAAUUCAUCGAGCAGUUGGAAUGCAAACUCUAAUUUCCCAUUUUCACACAACCCUUUAAUGAGAAUAUUCAGAGUACAAGCUUCGAUUUCAACACCCAAAUUGGGAGCUUUCCCAUAAACCUCGUGAACAACAUCAAAUAGUUUGUUCGAUACGAGUAAGCUCAAUACGAUAUUGAAGGUUUUAACACUAGGCCAAGUCCCAUAUUCUGGCAUGCUAAAAAGGAUCUCGAUUGCCCUUUUGAUUCGACCUCCGACAUGCCCAUACUUUUUAAUCACAUGCUGGAAGAAUUCAUCGGAUAAACGACAGGCUUUUUCACGUUUGAGCUUUUCCAUUAUAUUUUCAAUGGAAUCAAAAUCCUGGGCAUAUGCGAGCUUGUUGAUGAGCAAAGUGAAGAGAGGUUCAGUUGGUUUAUAAUCCUUGCGAGCUGAGUAUUGGGCUAGGACUGAAAUGAGAGAGUUUGGAUCUUUAAGAUUGUCAAAGAUUUUGAGGAUUUCGGUCGGGGAGAGCCAGUCUUUGUGGGUUAGUUUGAAAAGGGGAGGGGAAGUGGUGUGGGUUGGUUGAUGGUAGCUGGAAAGUGAGGAGAAAAACGAAAGGGAUUUAAGAGAUGAGAUUUUAGUGGUCAUUGGAUGUUGAAAAAGUGAGGGAAAAUUUUGGGGGUAAGAGCUUUUGACAGAAGAAAGAAGGGAACGUGAAAUCAUGCGUUUGGCCAUUGGAGAAUGUAGAAACUGGAGAGCUAAAAGCUUUGUGCUAUUCGCACUAUAAACAUAUAUAGGGUAAGGGACAGGCUUAAUACUUGUUUUGUCCCCUGUAAUAUAGUAAAAAAUCUCAUUUUGACCCUUUUCCUUUACUUUGUCUGUUUACUUUCAUUUCGUCCAUUGCCUGCUUACUUUCAUUUCGUCCAUCAUGUUAGUCUAUUGAUCAUUUCCGUAAAUCCCAUGUGUUAGGGUUCCUAUAUUAUAGUAUUCAUCCAUAUACUUUAACCCUCCACGUAGUCGCAAUCAAUUGGCUUAAAUGAUCGAGGAUCACUAUAGUAUAAGGACCAAACGUAAACAUGCACUAAUUUUUUUAUACAGAAAUGGUCAAAGGAUUAAAGUGAUAGAUGAAAUGAAAGUAAAGGGCGCAAAGUGAUUGGAAAAGUAGUAAAAUGUUGGAAAAUAUUAAGAGAUUGUAUGAUGCAAAACUUAAAUAAUUUAUCUACUGAAAUUUUGAGGUGUAUUAUUUCGAAGUAAUGAAUCAUUGUUAUUUACAACUAUAUAUUAUAUCUCUUUGAAAUGUACAAAUANNNNNNNNNNNNNNNNNNNNNNNNNNNNNNNNNNNNNNNNNNNNNNNNNNNNNNNNNNNNNNNNNNNNNNNNNNNNNNNNNNNNNNNNNNNNNNNNNNNNCUUCUUCUUCCCUUCAAGAAUUGGUUGGAUUUGGAGGUGCCUAUUGAAAGCCUGGUUGAAAAGGAAUCGAGUUUGGAAUGCCGAAAUGAUCGGAAGCCAUGCCAAUAUAGCAAUUGGAGAGAAAAGGAUCGAUCCCAUUCCGUAAUCAUAUGCCUUAGCUAGUACCUCAGUGAACUGCCAGAGUCCGGUGUUCUCAGUAAUUGGCCUCACAGCUUGAGCAACCUGAAGGGAACUAAAAUGUCAGAGGGAAUAAGGCAAAAGAUGCAAACUCUAGACAAAUACUAUAUGCUGGUCCUCUAAAUAUAUGAACAAAUUUAGAAAAGAACUUGGGUAUGCCCGUAUUUGAUACUUAUUCUUGAAUUCGAGUAACAUAGUCAACUAGACAUACCAAAAUCAGACCCCAUCCAGUCGGCAGAAAUGCAAGACAGCAGACAAGUAAAUCCUUGGACGACAGUUCACAGAUGACUGAGAGAGUGAUAACAAUGGCGAAAACACUUAGGAAGAGGAAUGCUUUAAAGAACCUAAACAUCAGAUGGUAACGAGCACUGAAGAGUUGCCUUCCAACGUUCACUGCCUGUAUGUCAUGUAGAGAUCAAGUUAUCCGUGCAGAAAAUUCAAGGCUACUUCGGAAUUUUCAAAAUAGAACUCAAUAUACUUGAGUAUUAUGAUACUUGAAUGAAUUUUACCUUGACCGUCAGGAAAACUGCAAGAAUCACAACCCAGGAAAGCAUAUAAACAAGGAAAUUUUUGCUCUGUUGGGAGAUGUCAAGAUGAUACACCAAGCCAUACUGAUACAAGAAAAACCGAAUCGAAAGAAGAAUUUCGAACAAUCUAGCACCAUAUCCUGAACGACGAAGGUGAGCUUGUUCAUCAUUCCACCAAGAUUGCCAACUCUUGUUUUGCUGAAUCCCAAUACCACCUUUCUCCUUGAUCCACUUAUUCCAGCCUUUCCAAUCAUCUACAAUCUUGUCCCAAUCGAACCCGGAAGGAUUAAACAAAAAUGGUGCAAAUAACCAAGUCAUGGUCAUGAACCAAACAGAGUACGUGAUUAAUACAUAUGCCAUGCUACUCUGGUAGGACCUCCGGAACAAAUCGUAAACCACUAACAGGAGCAACAGUUCAAAUCCUUUAACAAAGUGGCUUCGUGAAUACAAUCUGUAGUUCUCAGUAAAGCUGGCAUGAAACACCACAACCUUACGUCCGGUAGGUAUAUACUUAGCUCCGCCAUACAUAAUUGUCCGACCAAAAUGAUGGGUUUUUGUCCCAAGGGAAAAAGUGAAGAAAACAGCAGCAAACUGCAGUUGCAUAAGAACAAAAUCUUUAAGGGCCGUAAGAAAUCCCUUCUCAAGUCCGAUCUCCAUUACCAUCGGUAAGCCAGUUAAAAGACCAAGCUGAAUAAACGAUUGAGAAGCAAGAGCAGUUUCCAAUGAUUCAGUGUUUUUCAUUCUAGCCUCAAUGAGGAGUGCCUUUUCUAGUCCACUAAGAACAAGGUAUAGUUGUCCGUAGAGGAACACAUAAAUUCCGAGUACAGAAAUCUGGUUUUUUACAGAUCAUAAGACGGGAAAGGCAAAAAUCAGAAAAGCAUCAUACAGAGAUAAAUAGGAAUCGGAUCAGGUAACCUUGUUUAGUGUGAGAGAAUUACCAGGCUGCUGAAGUAAAAUCCAAUGGUUGUGAAAUAGCAAGAUAGCAUCCUAAAANNNNNNNNNNNNNNNNNNNNNNNNNNNNNNNNNNNNNNNNNNNNNNNNNNNNNNNNNNNNNNNNNNNNNNNNNNNNNNNNNNNNNNNNNNNNNNNNNNNNNNNNNNNNNNNNNNNNNNNNNNNNNNNNNNNNNNNNNNNNNNNNNNNNNNNNNNNNNNNNNNNNNNNNNNNNNNNNNNNNNNNNNNNNNNNNNNNNNNNNNNNNNNNNNNNNNNNNNNNNNNNNNNNNNNNNNNNNNNNNNNNNNNNNNNNNNNNNNNNNNNNNNNNNNNNNNNNNNNNNNNNNNNNNNNNNNNNNNNNNNNNNNNNNNNNNNNNNNNNNNNNNNNNNNNNNNNNNNNNNNNNNNNNNNNNNNNNNNNNNNNNNNNNNNNNNNNNNNNNNNNNNNNNNNNNNNNNNNNNNNNNNNNNNNNNNNNNNNNNNNNNNNNNNNNNNNNNNNNNNNNNNNNNNNNNNNNNNNNNNNNNNNNNNNNNNNNNNNNNNNNNNNNNNNNNNNNNNNNNNNNNNNNNNNNNNNNNNNNNNNNNNNNNNNNNNNNNNNNNNNNNNNNNNNNNNNNNNNNNNNNNNNNNNNNNNNNNNNNNNNNNNNNNNNNNNNNNNNNNNNNNNNNNNNNNNNNNNNNNNNNNNNNNNNNNNNNNNNNNNNNNNNNNNNNNNNNNNNNNNNNAAGGUCCUUACCAAACUUAAGGGCUGAAAGCAGCAAACGUUAUCUUGAAGGGGAAGGGAGGUUCUUAUUAAAGCAGUAGCAUGCGCUUCAAUGUAUACGAUAUCUUUUCGAAUUUCCUAAAAACUUAUGCGUGGAAAUGAAUUCAGCUUUGCAUCAGGAUCCUGAUCCAGAAUAUUGUGCAGCUUCUGGACGAAGGGUCAACUAUGAUAAAAACAAGUAGGACUAACUAGCCCAAAGAGCAUCAGGAUCCUGGACUAACUGUCAAGAUUGUUUUGCAAGUAGAGGAAGUCCUCCAAGCUUUUCAAUGGAUACGUCUCUCAUUUUCCUUCUGCUGAAUUCAUUUCCACGCAUAAGUUUUUAGGAAAUUCGAAAAGAUAUCGUAUACAUUGAAGCGCAUGCUACUGCUUUAAUAAGAACCUCCAUUCCCCUUCAAGAUAACGUUUGCUGCUUUCAGCCCUUAAGUUUGGUAAGGACCUUUAUAUAUAUAUAUAUAUGGUUAAAGUAAGGACCUUAUCUUUGAUAUGCCUCAAAGUUAAUGUUUUCGAAAGCCCCCACAAAGAAGGGACACCCAAGUAGGCGUCCGAAUUAUUUGCCACCUCUAAGGUAGUCUCUUCUUGAAUCAACCUUUCGUUGUCCCUUUGGGAGUAUUCACACUAAAAACGUUGCUUGAUUUAUCAUAGUUGACCCUUCGUCCAGAAGCUGCACAAUAUUCUUGAAUCAAGUUAAUCAUUCUCCUACAAUUUAAUGAACUAGCUUCCAAAAAGAAUAGAAAUCGUUCGUGAAUAACAAAUGUGACACUACUGGAUAAUGACUACNNNNNNNNNNNNNNNNNNNNNNNNNNNNNNNNNNNNNNNNNNNNNNNNNNNNNNNNNNNNNNNNNNNNNNNNNNNNNNNNNNNNNNNNNNNNNNNNNNNNAACUCCUUUCAAUAUAUUCACCAUGAUCUUCGAUAUGAUUUAAUACUUAAAAUUAUAAGGAAUAAUUGACCUAAUUAAAUUAUGUCAUUAAUUCAAGACAUUUAGUUUUCAGAAGUAAAAUUAUCUCAAUCUCGUUCGAAAAUUUCCCUUCCCUAAAAAAAAAACUCUUAAUAGCUUCCAAAACAUCCUUUUUAAUAAUUUCCCAAUAAUUAUGAUAGAAAAUCCCGUUAAAAUCAUCCACGAAAAAAGAGAUUAAUUUAAUUGUUUUGUAUGCUUAACUUGUACAAUAUAAGUAAAAUAUUAUAAUUUUAUCUCCAAAUUCUCUCAACACAUCUUUCUGACCCUUGUUUAUAAUCUCAUUUGUAUCUAGCAGGAUAUCCAAUUUAAAAUUAAAUAAUUUUUUUUAUAAUUCUUUAAAUAUUAAAAAUAUUUUCCUCUAUUAUUAUUUUUUGUUGUUGGAGUAUUAAAUAUUAGCCUUAAAACCAUAAGGCAUGAACUAUUCCAAACAACCCUUAAAAAGAUAUGUAAAUUUUGUUUUUGAAUAUCAUUUUUACUUUUUUAGGUUUCAAAUUGGAUAGUGAAUUAUAUAUUUAUUUAUUCGAAACUCCUCUUAAAUUAAUAAGAGUGAAGUUUCUUAUUUAGUAUUGAUUGUUCCAUAAAAUAUUCAAAGUUUUCAAAGUUUUCAAAUAGAUUUAUUUUUUUAAGUGUAGUUAAUAACCUCAAUAAAAAUUAAACUUUAUAAGUGAUGAAUUUAUAUUAAAAAUUGUUUGAUAAAUUCAUAAAAUAUAAGUUUGGGUUCAUCUACUUUUACAUUUCUUUUACCUAUUUAAAUUAUUUCUUAAUUUUUCUUAUUUUUUAAAAAAUUAUUCUUAAUUUUUUAUACAGGAAAAAUAAUCGACGAGGAAAUGAAAAAGUUAGGAGAGAACAUGGUUCAACAUUGUGCAGGGCUUCCAUUAGCCAUUGUUGUAUUGGGAGGAAUUUUAGCUACAAAGAAUAAUUCAUUAAACGAAUGGCGAAAGAUAUCUGACAAUGUAAAAUCCUACUUGAAGAAGGGCAAAAAUCAAAGACUAGAGGAUGUGUUAGCAUUAAGUUAUGAUGAUUUGCCUCCCUAUCUAAGACCAUGUUUCCUCUAUCUAAGCCAUUUUCCGGAGGAUUAUAUGAUAGAUGUGGAUAGAUUGAUUCAAUUAUGGGUUGCUGAAGGUAUUGUGUCAUCAAAGCAAGAAGAAAGAGAUGGUGGGGAAAUUGUGGAAGAUGUGGCGGAAUCUUAUUUAAUGGAGCUUGUGGAAAGGUGCAUGAUUCAAGUACGAGAAAGAGAUGUGGCAACCUUAAAGGUCAAAACAAUUCAGAUGCAUGAUCUGAUGAGAGAUCUUUGCUUAUCAAAAGCAAAACAAGAAAAUCUUGUCUUCAUUGUUGAUCGACCGAAUGCAUCUUCGUUAUCUAUGAUUCGGAAGGUUCAUAGGGUUUCUGUGCAUGAGUUUUUUUUCAUACAAUGCAUUAAAAGUCCAAAUAUUUAGUCACUUUUGUUCUUCAAUGAGUUCUUUCCGAAGGAGGCAAUUGAAAAAUCUUUGCCCUUGAAAGUGUUGAAUUACGUUGAAGAACAUGAAGAUGAUGAUUGUAAUCCACUAUUUUGGAUUCUUAUAACUUUGGCACGUUCUACAGGACGUCAUAAAAUUCACGAAAUUUGUAGAUACAUGUUCAACAACUUCAAAUUGCUAAGAGUCCUAAACUAUGAGAUAAGAACAAGAAGAACACGUGAUCUUUUUGGAGGGUGGAAGUUACCCAGUGAUAUAGGUAAUCUCGUCCAUUUAAGAUUCUUGAGUCUAAGGAAUUUUGAGUUCCAACGGUCAAAGUUGCCAUCAUCUCUAGGCAACUUAAGGUGCUUGCAAACCUUGGAUUUAAGAGUUGAUGACAGAAUUCAUGUACCUAAUGUGAAAUGGAGGAUGGAGCAACUAAGACAUUUAUAUCUCCCUUUGAGAUGUAAAAGCAGAACUAAGUUGAAGUUGGGUACUUUGACAAAACUCCUAACACUUGUGAACUUCAAGACCAAGAAUUGUUAUCUGAAGGAUCUUAUCAACAUGACAAAUCUUAGAGAGUUGGGGAUAAAUUUGCCCUUCAAUAUUGAAAAUUUCAAUGAGAAGGAGUUGGGCGAGAAUCCACCCAUAAUCGGAAGUAAAUAUCUUCAUUCCUUGUCUAUUACCUAUGAAGAAGGACUGAAAAUAUUUACUUUAUUUUCUAUUGAUGUCAUUAUGAAAUCCUGGUCAAAAAUAGAUCCAAGACAUUUGGCCCACCUCCUUUCAAAUUGUACUAGUAUUUGCAAGUUGAGUAUAACAAGAGUGAUAAGUGAGUUACCAGAGUAUCACUACUUCUCUUCCCAUCUCGCUUACAUACGGUUGAUAUGUUGUAAGUUUGAGGAAGAUCCAAUGCCAACACUAGAGAAGCUGCCUAACUUAAGGAUUCUUGAACUCAAAUAUACUUCAGAAGGAAAGGAAAUGUUUUGCUCUGCUCAGGGUUUUCCUAAACUUGAGUCUCUAAUCCUUGCGGAGCUCUACAAAUUGGAGGAGUGGAAGGUGGAUGAAGGAGCCAUGCCUUCUCUUCAGCGAUUGGAGAUUGAGGAAUGUGGAAACUUGAAGAUGCUUCCAGAGGGAUUGAGGUUCAUUACAACCCUCAAAGAACUGAAGCUUGAAUUAAUGCCAAAGGCAUUCAAAGAUAGAUUAGAGGAAGGAGGAGAAGAUUUCUGCAAAGUCAAACAUGUUCCUUCUGUCAUAUUCCAAAAAUGUGGCUAAUAGAUUGAAUGAUAAUUGAGAGGUAAUUUCAUAACCUCUGGUUUAGGAAAUGAUUCCUACUUUCUUUGCUUCUUAUAUAUCUUUUGUUUUUGACAAUGUCUCACAUUCUCACUCACUUUGUCAACACACCAAUGAAUAAUUACAUUUAUUGAAAGUCAAAGGAAGUGAGACAUUGAUAUUUUUAGUUUUUCUUUUCAGGUAAAGACGCCAUUUUUUCACCUGCUACUGCUAUUCACGGGAUCAAAUCUAGAUUUAAAACUCCUAUUAUAAGUGGCAUGUGAAAGUGUGUUAUAUGGUGAGAUUUGGAAUUAUGUUCUCUCUUGUAUAUAUCUGUGGUUGUUGACUGUUUGUUGUUUUCUUCAAAUUACAAUAAAACGGUUGCAAGAUAUGGUAUUGGAAGAAUGGGAGGUGUCUGGAUUAGCAAGGUACCAAACUCCUCCUCCAUUUCAAUUUCCUUCAAUCUAAUUUAAUUACACGUUCAUUUUUGUCUUUUAAAACAUAAAAUUGCAGAUAAGGAGACGUCACUGACCUUUGUUCCCACAUAGCUUUGGUUUGCGCCUUUGCGGUGACCAUUCCUAUAUUUAUUUGUUAGCUUUGCUUUCUCUGCUUGAGUCUUUCUCUUUUUUCUUUUUUCUUUUUUUUAUAUGCACUUAAUGUAAUAUUAGAAGCCAAGGCAGGACCAUGCUUUUCUAUUGUAAAAUUCAUCACUUUGUUGUCUAUGUUCAUUUCUACUUUUCAUUUGAUAUAUAUUUGAAUAUGGAGAAUAUAAUCUUUUUAAUAUAUACAUAUUUUAGAAAAAAAAUGAAUAUAUGUAUGUUUGACAUAUUUCCCGUUUCAACAUAUUUCCUUAUUUUAUGCAAGUCAAUUGGCAUUUAACCAAAUAAAUUUAAUUGCUUCAGUUUGAGUUAAAAUUAAAAUUUCAAAAUUAAAAAAAAAAUACAAAAAAUAAAGUUGACAAAUUCAAAAAUAUACAUAUUAAAAUUGAUCAAAUUAAAAGUGCACUGGCUAACCUUAAUUUUUUUGUUAAUCUUUCUUUUCGAUUAAUUAAAUGUCCAUGACGUAUAUUAUAUAUCUUAAUAUAUAAAUAUUUUUAAAAAAAUUAAAUAUAUGUAGGUUGGACACAUAUUCAAGUUUGAUAUUCGUCUUAAAUUCGUGCAAUACGGUUAAAUAUUGGUGAAUUAGUAGUUGAUGAAGUAUUAUAUACAUUCUUGGAAUAUUGCUCUAUUCAACGAAUUUAUUUCAGCUCCAUAUGCUUAAAACGCCUCCCAUUUCUAACAUAUUUCCUCAUUUUGGGUAACUCGAUUGGUAUACAAUGUAGUCUUUUUCAUUGUUUAGUAUCCUAAUCCUUAACUCAAUAAUCUUUGUUACAAUAGGGUUUAAUGAUUGCAAUUCAUCUCGAUGCUUCCGAAGCAAAAAAAAAAAAAAUCAAAUUUUACCGGUUAAUUACAUGUCAACACAUAUAAUCCACGAUAUGUUUAUCUGAAAGAUUAAAUAAGAUUAACUAAAUCACAAAGAAAAUAAACGAGUAAACAUAAUCUAGAAAUUCCAAAUUACAUUAUCUAACAAAAAUUCAAUAAGAAAUAAAUGGUUGCAUUUCAUUCUUUAGGGAUUUGCUCUUAUAUCUUCCAACAAUAGCUUGAUGAUAAUAAGCUGAAAAAGAAAAGGAGUCCAAGGGAAUUGAAGAUUCUUAAUUCAGCUAGCUUAAUUGAUUGAAUACUUCAAAUACACUUAAUUAAUACCAAUUAUAUUUAUCAAUAAAUCUAAAAUUUGAAUCCCUCAUUUGCAACCUAUUUUGUAAAAACUGCCAAAUGAAAUCAAAUUAUCUUGUUUCAAUUCUCUUCAAAUUUUAGUUUACAACUUCUAUUUUUGGGUUUCCAUUUGUUUCUACUUUUAAAGCAAACAUUGAUUCAAGAAAUAUUUAUUUCAUUUGGCUUAUUUUCUUUUCUAUUUUUAUGCUAUUCAGAUUCGAUGAAAUAUUGAACAUAAUAUGUGUGCAAGUUAGAUGUCCGAGUCUUGAAAUGUAAGAUCGAAACGGGAGAAAUAUCCUAAAACCCGAUGCUUAAAGAUUUAUAAAAUUUAGUAUAAUCAUGUUGUUUUCAUUAUUAUAAAACUCAAUGUUAAAAUGUCUAUGAUUUGAAUUAUGAUACAAGAGAAAAAUAGCUAACUAUUUUAAGUUCAAGGUGUGAGAAAACCUCAAUAUCUAAGAUAUGAAUGUUGUAAAGUACCACUCAAUCACAGCCACAUUUGUUAGUAUGACUACUUUGGAUGAAAAGUUCUAUUCCAAGUUAUAUAUACACACAGAAAUACACAUGAAGUGGAUUAAUGGUGUAUUAUUAAGUAAAGGAAAACGGUUCUAACUAAAAGAAAGAGUUGAAAUCUUGAACCUCCAAAUAUUGGGUAACCGCUGGUGUUAAAAAGUGCAUAAAGGUCCGCGCUUAUCUACAAGAAAUAAUGGAGGAAUCGCAUACGCUGUUUAUAUUCAUUUUUUUUGCUCCACAAGCAAUCCGAAACCAUAAACAAAGGAGUACUUUUUUGCCUUUUUUAAAUGGUUUUCUUGUUUCUUUUCCGCUUUUCAAAUUCUUCAUUCAAUUCAAGUUCAAGAAACCAUACUAAAUAUAUAUAUAUGUUUAUAUUCGCUUUUCUUGCUACACAAGCAAGCCAAAACCAUAAACAAAGGCAUGCAUUUUAUUUCCUUUUUUAAUGGUUUUCUUGAUUCUUUGUUGUUUUUAAAAUUCUUCAUUCAAUUCAAGUUCAAGAAACCAUACUAAAAUAUAUAUUUAUAUUCGCUUUUUUUGCUACACAAGCAAGCUGAAACCAUAAACAAAGGCAUACAUUUUUUCCUUUUUUAAAUGCAUUUUUUUUUUUGUUUCUUUGUUGUUUUUUAGAUUCUUCAUUCAAUUCAAGUUCAAGAAAUCAUACUAAUUAUAUAUGUUUAUAUUCACUUUUCUUGCUACAUAAGCAAGCCGAAACUAUAAACAAAGGCAUACCUUUUUUUCCCCUUUUUAUCUUGCUGCUUUUUAGAUUUUUCAUUCAAUUCAAGUUUAAGAAAUCAUACUAUAUAUAUACCAUACUAUAUAUAUAUAUAUGUUUAUAUUCACUUUUCUUGCUACACAAGUCAACUGAAACCAUAAACAAAGGCAUAACUUUUUCGCUUUUUUUAAAAUGAUUUUUUUUCUUUGCUACUUUUUUAAAUUUUUAUUCAAUUUAAGUUUAAAAAACCCUACUAAAUAUAUAUAUAUAUAUAUAUAUAUUAAGAGAGAGACAUCAUCAUCCUCAAGGAGUAAGUGGUUAAGCAUGAACUUGAUGGGAAGGCCACAAGUCGGUGGUGGUCAAAUCAUGAGUUGAUUAUGAUUAGUUUCAUGUUAUGGAAAAAAGAUGCUAGUUAAAAUUAGUUACUUGACCGUUGCAUUUUGAGGUUGAGAGUUUAAUGAAACGAUACGCUUUGAUGUUUAAUGAAAACGGUGCGUAUUGAAAGUUUGAUACAACUAAUCGAAUAACAAGCCUGUAACAACUUUGUAACUACCAAUUCCUCGCUUUAAAAAAAUAUUCCAAAUAUGUUUUCUCACCUUAUCAUUUUUGUUAUUUUUCAAGCCCCCUUACCAUUUUAUAUUUUUAAUGGGUAUAUUAUAAAAAUAGUCACCUAGGUAUUGCUUUCAUUCUAUUUUAUUCACUAAGUUAUUAAUUUUUUCGAUUUAAUUACUAAAUUUUUUUAAAUUAAAUAUUUUGAUCACUCUCCCAUUAGUUAUCAUUAGAUAAGUGAUAGGAAGUUAAUGUGGGCUUUUUUUAUUAGUCUAAUAACAAAUUUAGUCAUCUAAUGUUUACACAUUCUAUUAAAUUGAUUUUAAAUAUAAAAUGUUCAAUAGCUUUAAACCUAAAUGUUUACCAAAUCUAUUGUUAUAGUUCAAAUCCUAAAAAUUUCAAUAAAUUUAAUCCUCAAAAUUUGUAAAUUUAAUUUUAAUUCUAACUCAUGGAUGAAUUAAGCAAAUUAAAUCAAAUCAAAUCAAUCGAACAAAGAAUUUAAUUAAAAAGAAAUUCUUCACAUGCAUCAAGGAGGGACUUCCUCUGGUGGUAUCAAGGGGAUUGAUAGAAACAGCUCAGGCUCGAACAAGAACUUCACUGGGCUUAAGAUCAGGAACAGACACAUCGGAUCAAAGCUGCAACACCUCAGGUCCACCGAACCGAGGCAGCAACACCGCCCUGCAACUGUUGGCAUAGCACCGAAUUGAACCCACUUUCAAUGAUAUGAUAACUCCAUAAAGGGUUUGGGUUUUAAGCUUUGAAAGUUCCCCUUUUUCUUCUCAAAUUUUCUGAACUUCAGCUCCUUCCUUUUGUUAAAUGAAGGAAAAGCAAAGGAGAGACACCGAAGUGUUUUAAUCCACAUAGAAAAUAGUGAUUAUGUGACUUGUGAGUGUUGGCCUGGGGUCUUGGAAGAAGAAGAUGAAUAUUGCAUAAUCGAUUUUUAAUUGCUUACUACAUUCAUAAUUAAAUAAAUAAAAAUUUCUAACCUUAUCAAUUAAAUCAAGUUAGAAUGUUCAACUUGAUUUUUGUUUGUUAUAAGGAUCAUAUAUUAUAAAACUUAAUUUUAUUUUAAUAAUUAUAUAAUAUUAUUUUUAAUUAUAUCAUCUGAUACCAUCUUGAGGGCUAAAUUUAGAAUUAAAAUUAAAUUGACAAAUUUUAGAAAUUUUGAGCUUAAAUUUAUUUUUAUUUUUAGGAAUUUGAAAUAAAAUGAGAAAUUUUGUAAAUAUUGAGGAUUAAAUUUGUUGGAAAUUUUAUAUUUAGAAUCAAAUGGUAGAAUGUCUAAACAUUAGGGGGCUAAAUUUAUUAUUAGACCAAUAAAAACAAGUUCAUAUCAAUUUCCCGUCACUCAUCUAAUUGCAACUAAUGAGGAAGUGAUGAAAAUAUUUAACUUCUAAAAAUUUAAUGACUAAAUAAAAAAAUUAACAUUUAAGUGAUCAAAAUAGAAUGAAAUCAAUAAUUUGAUGAGCAUUUUUGUACUGUACCCUAUCUUAAUCCAUCUCACAACCAAAUUUCUCCGUCUUUGCCUAAGUUCUGUGUCUUUGUCAAAUUUUAAUAGAAUUAACAUUUUUAUUUAAAAAAUAUCUUUAAUCGUUUAAUAUAUUUUUAAUAAGUAAAUGUUAAUUCCGUUAAGGGUCAGUUUGUUUACACGUAAAAAGUUAAAAAUAAAAAUAUUGAGUUCUAUAAUAUGAGUCUAUUGAACCGAUUCAAUCAUAAAUUUUAUUAUUAUUGGUUUAUAUAAUGGUUUGAUUUUGAAAAUAUUUGGUUUAACAUUUAGUCAUCCCUUUGAUCAAUUUUAAAUUUUAGAAAUAAUUUUGUUUUUUGUUUACAUUUAAAUGUACAGUUUCUAAUGCAUAUGUGUUACAUUUGAUUUCAAGCCAUUAAUCCUUAAUUACUUUUUAAAAUAAUAGUUUCUUUUAGUUUUUAAAUAAUGUAUAAAUUUAUAAUUAUAUAAGAAAGUAAACUAUAAUAUUAAAUUUUUAAAAAUUAAGUAAAACAACAUGCAAUAAUUUUCAUAAUAAUUAAUGAUAAAUAAGAAAAAUAUUCACAAUUAUAAAACAAACCGUUUAAGAGUAUAUAAACUACUUAUACAAAAUUCUUUUAAAUCAAAGAUGAAAUUAUAUAUAUAUAAAUAACAAAUGAAAUUAUAUAUACAAAUUUAUAAGUGAAAAAUAUACAUAAUUAUAUUCAUAAAAAGUACAUAUGACAAUAUACAAACAAGGCUAUAAAGUAAUUCAUAGGAACAUGGCUUUCUUGUUAGUAUUCUCAUUCUUUUUUUAACAUACCUUUCUUGCUUGUGUUCUCAUUCUAUUAUGAAUAUACCUUUCUUGUUCGUAUUCUCGUUCUAUUGAUGAUUAAUGUUGCUUUAUAAUUGUUUAUAAAUUUAAUAGAACUAUAUAUUACUACUAAAAGUAUAAAAGGGCAAUGAUUUGCAAUUGUUUUUAUAAUUAAGUACUGGUUCUUGCAAUUGUUUUCCCAGCAAGAUUGCGGCACUCACAUCUUGAAAUCCAAAUUCAAGAUUUUAAAGAAUUUUCUGAGCUCGAUAGCUAUUAUGGCUUGGUCUGCUGUGACAUCUGCAGUGACAACAAUUGGCAACCUGCUAACUCAGGAAGCCAUAUACCUAUGGGGCGUGGAGGAGCAAGUUGAUCGUCUGCAAACAGAGCUCAAAUGGAUGCAAAGCUCCUUAAUGGUGGCAGAGACAAAACAAUCAACGGAUGAGAGGAUUCGUCUUUGGGUUGCUGAAAUCAGAGAGCUUGCUUAUGAUGCUGAGGAUAUUGUUGAGGAAUUUGCUCUCAAGAUUGGAUCCAAAAACAAAGGUGGCCUUCCGAGUUGUAUUAAAAGAUCAGCCUGCUGUUUGAAAGAGGGAUGGGUGCUCCAUGAAACCAGGUCAAAGAUCGAGAAAAUCAUAGAAAGAGUCAGCGACUUGGUCCGACGACUACAGGCCUACGGCGUAAAGGAAUUAAAUCCCAGAGGAGAAGGAUCAAGUUUUUCAACUGAAAUACGAGAAUCAAGGCGGCCUUAUCCACAUAUUAUGGAUGAUAAUAUUGUUGGACUAGUUGAUGAUACCAAGGGAUUGGUCGAAGUUCUUACGAAGGAAAGUGGAUGCAAGGUUGUUACAAUAUGGGGCAUGGGUGGUCUGGGAAAGACCACUCUCGCCAAGAAAAUAUAUCACCAUGGUGAGGUUAUUGAUUAUUUCGAUCACUUGGCUUUUGUAUAUGUUUCUCAACCAUGCCGGAAAAGAAAUGUUUGGGAAGACAUUUUAUCUGGUUUCAAAACUUUAGAUAAAGAGGACAGGAAGAUAACAGAUGCAGAAUUAGCAGGGAAGUUGAGUAAAACUUUGAAGGAUAAAAAGUGUCUGGUGAUACUUGAUGAUGUUUGGACCAGUGAAGCUUGGGAUAGUCUAAAACCUGCCUUUCCAGUUGAUAGCAAAAGCAAGAUAUUGCUCACCUCUAGAAACAGGGGGAUAGUUUCAUAUGCUGACAUAAAAGGUAAAAUUUUCUUAAUUAGGUAAAAUUGAAUACUCUUAUUCCUUUGAUGGAAAAUAACCAUGUAUAUUAUUUCAGAGUUGAAGUGCCUAAACGAUGAAGAAAGUUGGGAAUUGUUUCAAAAGAUUGUAUUUCCUCAAACAGGUAAAUAUACAUAUAGCAAAAUUCUUGUUAUACGCUAAAUUUAUUUUUCAUUUUUAAUUUUUUUGACAAUAAUUAAAUUUAAAAAUAUAUAAAAUCUAUUUUAUUUAAAAAUUUCAAAACCUUAAUAUGAAAUAAAUAAAAGAAAUCAAGGCUUUGUAGUUUAUCAGCUAAUGGUACACGCAAGUAAAUAUAAUUAAUAGGUAAAUUCAUUAUCUUUUAUAUUAUAUAUUUUUAAUAACUUUGCUAUUAGUUACCGAGAAUAAAUUAUAUUAGGAUCAUCUUAAAAAAAUAUAAAUUUUAGGCACCAAUAAAAUAAUGUUACAUCGUUAAAUUUUUAAGAUAACAAAGAAUUAUUAUACACUCAUUUAUAUUUAAUAUUUUCUCCAACUUAAUUUAACUUUAAUUAAAUUAUUUAAAAUAAUUAAUUUUUUAAAUUAUAGACAAACAUCUUUUCUUCUUUUACAAAAUUUAAUCAUUUUUUUAUAAGUUAAUAUUUUUUUUAUUUUUGUGCAACCAUUUUUUAAAAAAAUAGUAAUUUUUGUGCAAUAUUUUUCAUGUCAUUGACACAUAAUUUUGAUAAUUAUUUUAUCCUGAACCCAAAACCCCGAACCUUGAACUCGAACCCUAAACCCUGAACCUAAACCUUGAGCCCUGAAUCUCAUAAUUUAAGGUUUGGAUUCGAGAUUUAAAGCUCAGAAUUCGAAGUUCAAGUUUAAAGUUUAAGGGUUCAGGUGGGUUACGAGUUUAGGAUUCAUGGUUCAAGGGUUUGGGGUUGCAAGUUUGGAGUUUUAUGUUUUGGAUCUAGGUUUAGAAUUAUAGAUUUAGGGUUCAGGUAAAAAAUUUACCAAAAUUAUGUGUCAAUGACAUGGAAAAAAUUGUUGAAAUGUUAUUAAAUAAUUGGAAAGGGACCAUGAAUAAUGUGGUCAGAAGAGUCCAUAAAAUAAUUUCUCUAUGGAUGAGUGUAUAAUAAUUUAUGUCUUUAAAAUUUGAUGAUGUGACAAAAAAAAUUUAAUUUUUAGGAUCUUCCUAAUGUAAGUUAUUACCUUAUCUUAAUUAUUGGACUAUAUGCUUGUUUAGUUUCUUAAGCACUUUCAUGGUAUUCUUUUAUACGUUUAUCCUGGAUCCUUGCAUCAGAAAGAUUGAGGUGCAGGUAAACCAUUCUUAUCAAGAGUAAAGCCUAAGAAAGAUGUAGUUGAUUCGAACAACUAGCACAUCUCUUUAUGACCCUAUUUAGCAAACCAAUCCACUAACCUAUUGGCUUCUCGUCUGAUAACAUUGACUUUCAAAGAAGAAAGUUGCAUGACCAGCAUAUCAAAAACCUAAAGGACUAGCCUUAAUCUCCAUCUUCGAUCUUGACUUUUCUUCUUAAUGUUAGAAGCAAUAGUCUGGGAGUUAGUCUUGAUUGUCACAUUGGUCCAUUUGUUCUUCAUAGUUAAUUCAAUCCAUCCAACCAUAGCUUUAGCCUCGACAACCUUACAUGAAUCCACUUAAUCCUUUUACCAAUCCCAUCCAGAAUCUUCCCACUUAAAUUUCUGCCUAUUUCUCUAAUACCGGCACAAGCUAUUAAGGUGUCAAAUGCCCCAUCACAAUUAACUUUAACCCAACCUUCUGGUGAUUUCUCCCAAAUAUCAGCACAAGUAUUUGACUUCCUAGUUCGAUCAGAGUUAUUGUUUGAACAGAGGAUCCAUUGAGCAGAUAAGAAUUCAUUCAUGGAGCAAUUAAUCCUUCGAAUAAUUCUCUCCAAACCAAGUUUCACACCUCCGAUUGUAACCUCACACCUAGCUUUCCAGAUGUGGUAACAAGUGAAAACAAUUCUAACUUGAAAAUCCUCCCUCAUACAAGGCAUUUGUAACAACUUAGAGAACCAUCUGUCAAAUGAUUGAGUUUGAUCAUUUAGCCCUUAAAGACCAAAACAAGCAUCAUACUAUAUUCCCCUAACCCUAUUACAACUAAGAAUAAUAUGUUCAAAGUCUCAUCUUCAAUACCACAUAAACAACAAAUUGUGUUCGAAAAACAUUUUCUUUUCCUCGGAUUAAAACGAGAUGGAAUAGCAUUAUGACACAAUUUCCAUAAGAAAAUUUUAAUUUUUUUCAGUACCUGUAAGCUCCAAAUAGCUUUCUGAGUGCUCCUAUCAAUUAAGUGAGAGCUGGAAGAUUGUAAAGAAGACUCAUUUCCAUAGUGCUUUCUCAUCUCCUUAUACCCUGACUUCAUCAAAUAUUGACCAACAGCUGUAAACGGCCACACCAAUUUAUCUUGUUCAUCUGUUUCAUGAACGGGAACUGUUGGAAAUUGCCAAUCAUUCUGCUGUUACAUUUUUUGGUUGAAGUGCAUGCAGAAAAAAAAUGUUAGAAAUUUGCCAACCAUGCUGCUGUUACAUUUUUUGGUUGAAGUGCAUGCAGCUUGAUGACAUGUUGCAUGCACUUCAACCAAAAAAAUGUAACAGCAACAUGGUUGGCCAAUUUCCAACACUCCUCCUUGGACUCUAUGCUGCAAAUACCAGUCAUUCAUUAAGUUUUUGAACUUGGCAGUCCUUAGAUGCUUUGUUUCAAGCUAACUCUUCUCAAGCAAUUCAUUUUCAACAUUGGCUUCAUUCUCAACCAAAUCUGACUUACACACUUGACUAUACCACUCUUUUGUGCCAAAGAUUUGUCCAUCAAAUGGAGUAUUCUCCUCUUUCACAGCCUUGGUUGACAACUUGCCUUUAAACUCAUCUUUUCUUUCUUGCCUUGUCCCUUUACUCAUUACAAUCCUGUUUCUUCUUGCACAAACAGUUCAUGAGUAUAGUUUGCUUGCCUUCAGUCUGCCAUUUUGGCUUGCACCUACUCGAGCUUGCAUUUAAACUGUUUGCCACUUUGGCUUGCAAUUCGAUAAGCUCACACUUUGACAAGCUCACACUUUGCUUACUGUCUUCAACAGGCUCGCAACUUUACAACUCGCAUUGAGCUUCCACAUGUUGCUGAGCUCACACCCAAAGUUAAUGAUUUCGAAAGCCCCCACAAAGAAGGGACACCCAAGUAGACGUCCGCAUUAUUUACCACCUCUAUGUUAGUCUCUUCUUGAAUCAACCUUUCGUUGUCCCUUCGGGAGUAUUCACACUAAAAACGUUGCUUGAUUUAUCAUAAUUGACCCUUCGUCUAGAAGUUGCACAAUAUUCUUGAAUCAAGUUAAUCAUUCUCCUACAAUUUAACGAACUCACUUCCAAAAAGAAUAGAAAUCGUUCGUGAAUAACAAAUGUGACACUACUGGAUAAUAACUACUAAGGCUAAUCCAAGAAAUAAAACUAGACUCGACUCUAUUAAUAAUCACCACCCCUAGAACUCCUUUCAAUAUAUUCACCAUGAUCUUCGAUAUGAUUUAAUACUUAAAAUUACACAGACUAAUUGACCUAAAUUAUGUCAUUAAUUCAAAACAUUUAGUUUUCAGAAUUAAAAUUAUCUCAAUCUCAUUUGAAAAUUUCCCUUCCCUAAAAAAAAAAACUCUUAAUAGCUUCCAAAACAUCCUUUUUAAUAAUUUCCCAAUAAUUAUGAUAAAAAUUCUGCUAAAAUAUUCGCAAAAAAAAGAUAUUAAUUUAAUUGUUUUGUAUGCUUAACUUGUACAAUAUAAGUAAAAUCUUAUAAUUUUAUCUCCAAAUUCUCUUAACACAUCUUUCUGACCCUUAUUUAUAAUCUCAUUUGUAUCUAAGAGGAUAUUCAAUUUAAAAUUAAAUAAUCUUUCUUAUAUAAUUCUUUAAACAUUAAAAGUAUUUUCCUCUAUUUUUUUUUUUUUGGUUGGAGUAUUAAAUAUUAGCCUUAAAACCAUAAGGCAUGAACUAUUCCAAACAACCCUUAAAAAGAUAUGUAAAUUUUGUUUUUGAAUAUAUCAUUCUUACUUUUUUAGAUUUCAAAUUGGAUAGUGAAUUAUAUAUUUAUUUAUUUGAAACUCCUCUUAAAUUAAUGAGAGUGAAGUUUCUUAUUUAGAAUUGAUUGUUCUAUAAAGUAUUCAAAUUUUUCAAAUAGAUUUAUUUUUUCAAGUGUAGUUAAUAACCGCAAUAAAAACUAAAUUUUAUAAGUGAUGAAUUUAUAUUAAAAAUUGUUUGAUAAAUUCAUAAAAUAUAAGUUUGGAUUCAUCUACUUUUACAUUUUUUUUACCUAUUUAAAUUAGUUCUUAAUUUUCCUUAUUUUUAAAAAAUUUAUUCUUAAUUUUUUAUACAGAAAAUAUAAUCGACGUGGAAAUGAAAAAGUUAGGAGAGAAUAUGGUUAAACAUUGUGCAGGGCUUCCAUUAGCCAUUGUUGUAUUGGGAGGAAUUUUGGCUACAAAGAAUAAUUCAUUAAAUGAAUGGCGAAAGAUAUCUGACAAUAUAAAAUCAUACUUGAAGAAAGGCAAAAAUCAAAGACCAGAGGAUGUGUUAACAUUAAGUUAUGAUGAUUUGCCUCCCUAUCUAAGACCAUGUUUCCUCUAUCUAAGCCAUUUUCCGGAGGAUUAUAUGAUAGAUGUGGAUAGAUUGAUUCGAUUAUGGGUUGCUGAAGGUAUUGUGUCAUCAAAGCAAGAAGAAAGAGAUGAUGGGGAAAUUGCGGAAGAUGUGGCGGAAUCUUAUUUAAUGGAGCUUGUGGAAAGGUGCAUGAUUCAAGUACGAGAAAGAGAUGUGGCAACCUUAAAGGUCAAAACAAUUCAGAUGCAUGAUCUGAUGAGAGAUCUUUGCUUAUCAAAGGCAAAACAAGAAAAUUUUGUCUUCAUUGUUGAUCAAUCAAAUGCAUCUUCAUUAUCUAUGAUUCGGAACGUUCGAAGGGUUUCUGUGCAUGAGUUUUUUUCAUACAAUGCAUUAAAAGUCCAAAUAUUCGGUCACUUUUGUUCUUCAAUGAGUUUUUUCCGGAGGAGGCAUUAGAAAAAUCUUUGCCCUUGGAAGUGUUGAAUUACGUUGAAGAACAUGAAGAUGAAGUUUGUAAUCCACUUGUUUGGAUUCUUAUGAUUUCGCGAACUGGUACGAGCUUUCUUAAAGCUCGGGGAAUUUGGAGAUACAUGUUCAACAACUUCAAAUUGCUAAGAGCCCUAAACUAUGAGAGAACAACAUGUGAUCGUUUUGUAGGGUUUAAGUUACCCAGUGAUAUAGGUAAUCUCAUCCAUUUAAGAUUCUUGAGUCUAAAGGAUCUUGAGUUCACAUGGCCAAAGUUGCCAUCAUCUCUAGGCAACUUAAGGUGCUUGCAAACCUUGGAUUUAAGAGUUGAUAGUUACAAAAUUCAUGUACCUAAUGUGAUAUGGAGGAUGGAGCAACUAAGACAUUUAUAUCUCCCUUGGAGAUGUAAAAGCAGAACUAAGUUGAAGUUGGGUACUUUGAGAAAACUCCUAACACUUGUGAACUUCAACACCAAGAAUUGUUAUCUGAAGGAUCUUAUCAACAUGACAAAUCUUAGAGAGUUGGGGAUAAAUUUACCCUUCAAUUUUGAAAAUUUCAAUGAGAAGGAGUUGGGCGAGAAUCCAUUCAUAAUCGGAAGCAAAUAUCUUCAUUCCUUGUCUAUUAUUACCCGUAGGCUAAAGAUAUCAAUAGAUCCAAGACAUUUGGCCCACCUCCUUUCAACUUGUACAAGUAUUUGCAAGUUGAGUAUAGCAGCAGAGAUAAGUAAGUUACCAGAGUAUCACUACUUCUCUUCACAUCUCACUUACAUACGGUUGAGAUGGUGCAAGUUUGAGGAAGAUCCAAUGCCAACACUAGAGAAGCUGCCUAACUUAAGGAUUCUUGAAUUCGAAUGUUCUUUGAAAGGAAAGUAAAUGUUUUGCUCUGCUCAGGGUUUUCCUAAACUUGAGUCUCUAAUCCUUGCGGAGGUCGACAAUUUGGAGGAAUGGGAGGUGGAUGACGGAGCCAUGCCUUCUCUUCAGCGAUUGGAUAUCAGGCAUUGCCCAAGCUUGAAGAUGCUUCCAGAGGGAUUGAGCUCCAUUACAACCCUCAAAGAACUGAAGAUUGAAUCAAUGCCAAAGGCAUUCAAAGAAAGAUUGGAGAAAGGAGGAGAAGAUUUCUACAUAGUCAAAGAUGUUCCUUCUAUCAUACUCCAAUACUGUGGCUAAUAAAUUGAAUGAUAAUUGAGAGGUAAUUUCAUAACCUCUAGUUUAGGAAAUGAUUCCUACUUUCUUUGCUUCUUAUAUAUCUUCCGUUUUUGACAAUGUCUCACAUUCUCACUCAAUUUGUCAACACACCAAUGAAUAAUUACAUUUAUUAAAAGUCAAAGGAAGUCAUCUUUUUAGUUUUGCUUUUCAGGUAAAGACGCCAUUUUUUCACCUACUACUAUAAUGGCGUGUGAAAGUGUGUUAUAUGGUGAGAUUUGGAAUUAUCUUCUCUCUUGUAUAUAUUGUUGGAACAUUUUCAAAUAUUUAUAGUAUCCCAAUAACUAUAAAUGAAUGGGUGUAAUUAAUCAAAAGAUAAAUCUUUUGGUCAUUGGUCAAAAGUUAUAUCAUUUGAUUUUUUAAAAAAGAAUUAUAAUUAUUCAAAAAAUAUUAUUUGAAUAGUUACAAAAUUAAAGGAAUAAUUAUUAUUAUUUAUUUAUUCAUAAAGACACCUAUUGAAAGAUGUCUCUAUGAAGAGACAUGAAAAUUCCUAUAAAUAGGAAUGGGAUUUCAUUUGGAAAUCAUAUCAACAAAUUCUAAUAUUAUUUCUUCUCUUCCUUCAUUUUCUAAUAUUAUUAGAUUAUUCUAUAAAGUAUUCCUGCAGAAAUUCUUUGUAGAAAUUGAGUUUUUGUUACACAUUACUCAGUGCAUAGUGGACUAUUCUCGUCAGUGCAAAACACAAAUAGUCAUUGGCUUCAUUGUAUCCUCGAGGUUAAUUUGCUUGGAACUCAUUUGCACACUGAAGAUAAGUGGGGGCGAAUAUAACCUUAAUGAUAGUGGCUUGAUACACGCCUUGGAGCCUUGUCCUAUUUCUUCUUUUUCUUUUCGAGUUCCGAUCGUGUGUUCGAGAUUUUCCUUACCGGAGUUUUGUAAUAACAUAUAUCUAUGGUUGUUGACUGUUUGUUGUUUUCUUCAAAGUACAAUAAAACGGUUGCAAGAUAAGGUAUUGGAAGAAUGGGAGGUGUCUGGAUUAGCAAGGUACCAAAUAAGGAGACGUCAUAAAACAUAACAUUGCAGAUAAGGAGACAUCACUGACCUUUGUUCCCACAUAGCUUUGGUUUGCGGUGACCAUUCCUAUAUUUAUUUGUUAGCUUUGCUUUCUCUUUCUUUUUUUUCCCUUAAGUCUGCUUGAGUCUUUUUCUUUUUUUAUAUGUACUUAAUGUAAUAGUAGAAGCCAAGGCAGGACCAUGCUUUUCUAUUGUAAAAUUCAUCACUUCGUUAUUUUAUAUUUGUAUGUUGACACAUUUCCCGUUUCAACAUAUUUCCUUAUUUUAUGCAAGUCGAUUGGUAUUCAUCAUAAAAAUUACGAUAUCAUAUCAAGUUUAAUGGUUACACUUCCAAAACAAAAAAUAGGAAAAAUUAAAUCUUACCAACUAAUAACACUUUCAAAUUACACUGUCUUACAAAAAAAAAAAAAAAAAAGAAGAAGAUACAAUUUGAAUUUUUUUAUCAAAUGGUUUAGCAAGCUAUGCUUUAUAAAAGAGGCAAAGGAAUCCAAGGGAAUCAAAGAUUCCAAAAUCGAUAUUUAGAUUCAAGAUUUUGUAUCCCCAUGCUUUGCUUCUUAUAUCUACCAACAAUAUCUUGAUGAUAACAAACUAAAAAAAACUAUUCAAGGGAAUCGAAGAUUUCAAAUCCAACAUAAUUGAUUGAAAAUUUCACAUCCACUUAAUUAAUUCAAAUGAUAUUUAGUCAAUAAGUUUAAAUUAAAAACUGCAAGAAUCUUCAUUUAUCUUUUAUUCGAAAUGUAAUUCGGAUUCAAUGAAAAUAUUGAACAUAUAAUGUGUGCACAUGGAAAUGUCCAAAUCUUUAAAUAUAGGGUCGACAUGGGAGAAAUCUCCUCAGACAUUGAAUUUAUUGAGUGCAUUUUCAGAGGAAAAUCCUGAAACAUGUUACAGGCAAAUAUUAAGAAAAACAAUGCACAAGCAUAAGUACAAAAACAUAGCAUGCAAGAAAUCAAUACUUGAAAGGAUUAAAAUCACUGCUAACCUAAGACAUUGAAUCUAGCACCACUAGGAAACAUCCGAAAUGAUACUUGUCUUUCAAUGUUGAGAUACAUACGUCCAAGUCUGCCAUGUUGCGCCAAACUGGAAUUCAUCAACCUNNNNNNNNNNNNNNNNNNNNNNNNNNNNNNNNNNNNNNNNNNNNNNNNNNNNNNNNNNNNNNNNNNNNNNNNNNNNNNNNNNNNNNNNNNNNNNNNNNNNUUAUAUAUAUAUAUAUAUAUAUAUAUACAGACACACACACAGAUAGACAUGAAGAAAGUGGGUUAAUGGUGUAUUAUUUAAGUAAAGAAAAAGUUGAAAUCUUAAACCUCUAAAUAUUGGGUAACAGCUAGUGUUAAAAGUGCAUAAAGUUCUUCUAUUAUCUACAAGAAACAAUGGAGGAAUCACAUACAUUGUUUAUAUUCACUUUUCUUGCUACACAAGCAAGCUGAGUCCAUAAACAAAGGCAUACCUUUUCUCCGUUUUUAAAUGGUUUUCUUGUUUCUUGGCUGCUUUUUAUAUUAAGAAGAGAGAUUGUGAGACCUCGUCAUCCUCAAGGAGUAAGUGGUCCAGCAUGAAGAUGAUGGGAAGACCAUGAGUCGAUGGUGGUCAAUCCAUGAGUUGAUUAUGAGUAGUUUCAUGUUAUGAAAUAAAAAUGUUAGCUAAAGUUAGUUGAACGCUGUGUUUUAGGGUUGAGGGUUUAAUGAAACUAUCAGUUUUGAUGUUGAAUGAAAAUGGUGCGUAUUGACGGUUUGUUACAACUGCUCGAGGAACAGCCCUAUAACAGACUUUGUAACUGCCAAUUCUCAGCCAUAAUAGAAACUGGCAUGGGAAAUGGGCAGAUAUGCCAUUUUGUGAAGGAAAUCAAUUCUUUCUUCUUCCUUGAUUCUCUUUCUCUUCUCUCUUUUUCUUUCUUCCUCUAUUCUGUUGAAAUUAUGCAUCACUUCACCAGUAUUCAUCAUUGUGGACGUAUCUGAUCUUCAGUCUCUGGUUUACUGCCCAUGUAAAGUUAUGGAAAGAAAUGCAAAUUUAAAAGGAUUUCUUGCUAUAGUCUAUGCAAUUUCAUGUGUGCGUGAAAGGAGAUGAAGAUUAAUAGAGUAAUACUGAUAUACCAACAAUUCAUUAAUUGAAGUACUAUCAAUAUUAUCAACAAGUAACAGGAUUAAGUGAGUAUACUAAUAUAGUCUAGAAAAGCAAUUUAAUUAAUAAUACCAUAGGGAUGGCAAGAGGGUGAAGUUGCUAUUGCUAUUUAUAUCUCAGCUGCUAGCUUUUGACGACUUCACCAAGUAAACUGCAAUCACAAGUGUUGUUCUUAUUACCUGCAAAAACAGAGCCAACAAUCUGAAUCCAUAUCCCCAUUUUAGGAACAANNNNNNNNNNNNNNNNNNNNNNNNNNNNNNNNNNNNNNNNNNNNNNNNNNNNNNNNNNNNNNNNNNNNNNNNNNNNNNNNNNNNNNNNNNNNNNNNNNNNCCGUAUCUGACACUUAUAUUCAACACAUAUUCAUGUAUUGGUAUGAAGAUAUGAUAUUCUUAUCCUAUACUCAUAUCCGUGCUCAGGUAACAUAAACUGAACCCGCAAGAUAACUGAUUUAACAUUGCAUUGCUGCUAGCUAUUGAUGAUUUCACCAAGUAAACUGCAAUCACAAGUGUUGUUCUUAUUCCUUGAAAAAACACAGUCAACAAUCUGAAUCCACAUUCCCAUUUUCGGAACAAAACCAUGGCGUACCAUUUGUUUCAAAGCCCAAUCAACUUCCUUUACCAUCUUCCCCUUAUAAAAACCAUGAAUCAACUUCUUGUAUGAAUCAAAACUAGGAUUAACCCUCUCGAAAACCAUUCUCCCCAUAAUCUCCUUUGCUUCCAUAAACCUCGCAGCAUCAAGCAAACCAUACAACACCUCUUGAUAAGACCCUGCAUUGGGAUAACACCCUUUCUUUUUCAUAAUUUCCAACAGCUUCACACCUUCAUCAAUCCUACCUUGUUUCCUAAGACCUGAAAUCAAGAUAUUAAAGCUAACAGCAUCAGCAUCGAUUCCUUCCGUUUCCAUCCUCCCCAUCAACUCAAAAGCUUCAUCAACCUUCCCCUUAUCGCACAACCCGUGCAUUAAAGUAGAAUAAGUUCUAACAUUAGGCUUACACCUUUGUUUAGGAAAUUCAUCGAGCAGUUGGAAUGCAAACUCUAAUUUCCCAUUUUCACACAACCCUUUAAUGAGAAUAUUCAGAGUACAAGCUUCGAUUUCAACACCCAAAUUGGGAGGUAAACCUCGUGAACAACAUCAAAUAGUUUGUUCGAUACGAGUAAGCUCAAUACGAUAUUGAAGGUUUUAACACUAGGCCAAGUCCCAUAUUCUGGCAUACUAAAAAGGAUCUCGAUUGCCCUUUUGAUUCGANNNNNNNNNNNNNNNNNNNNNNNNNNNNNNNNNNNNNNNNNNNNNNNNNNNNNNNNNNNNNNNNNNNNNNNNNNNNNNNNNNNNNNNNNNNNNNNNNNNNNNNNNNNNNNNNNNNNNNNNNNNNNNNNNNNNNNNNNNNNNNNNNNNNNNNNNNNNNNNNNNNNNNNNNNNNNNNNNNNNNNNNNNNNNNNNNNNNNNNNNNNNNNNNNNNNNNNNNNNNNNNNNNNNNNNNNNNNNNNNNNNNNNNNNNNNNNNNNCAGCCAGUCUUUGUGGGUUAGUUUGAAAAGGGCAGGGGAAGUGGAGUGGGUUGGUUGAUGGUAGCUGGAAAAUGAGGAGAAAAACGAAAGGGGUUUAAGAGAUGAGAUUUUAGUGGCGAUUGGAUGGUGAAAAAGUGAGGGAAAAUUUUGGGGGUAAGAGCUUUUGACAGAAGAAAGAAGGGAACGUGAAAUCAUGCGUUUGGCCAUUGGAGAAUGUAGAAACUGGAGAGCUAAAAGCUUUGUGCUAUUCGCACUAUAAACAUAUAUAGGGUAAGGGACAGGCUUAAUACUUGUUUUGUCCCCUGUAAUAUAGUAAAAAAUCUCAUUUUGACCCUUUUCCUUUACUUUGUCUGUUUACUUUCAUUUCGUCCAUCAUGUUAGUCUAUUGAUCAUUUCCGUAAAUCCCAUGUGUUAGGGUUCCUAUAUUAUAGUAUUCAUCCAUAUACUUUAACCCUCCACGUAGUCGCAAUCAAUUGGCUUAAAUGAUCACACACGAGGAUCACUAUAGUAUAAGGACCAAAGUGAGAAUUUUAUUAUUAAUUAAGUGACAAAUACGUAAACAUGCACUAAUUUUUUUAUACAGAAAUGGUCAAAGAAUUAAAGUGAUAGAUGAAAUGAAAGUAAAGGGCGCAAAGUGAUUGGAAAAUUAGUAAAAGGUUGGAAAAUAUGAAGAGAUUGUAUGAUGCAAAACUUAAAUAAUUUAUCUACUGCAAUUUUGAGGUGUAUUAAUUUGAAGUAAUGAAUCAUUGUUAUUUACAACUAUAUAUUAUAUCUCUUUGAAAUGUACAAAUAAAUUAAUGGGCAGAAUGUUUAUGAAUGUCAAAACUUUAUUUUUGCUUCUUCUUCCCUUCAAGAAUUGGUUGGAUUUGGAGAUGCCAAUUGAAAGCCUGGUUCAAAAGGAAUCGAGUUUGGAAUGCCGAAAUGAUCGGAAGCCAUGCCAAUAUAGCAAUUGGAGAGAAAAGGAUCGAUCCCAUUCCGUAAUCAUAUGCCUUAGCUAGUACCUCAGUGAACUGCCAGAGUCCGGUGUUCUCAAUAAUUGGCCUCACAGCUUGAGCAACCUGAAGGGAACUAAAAUGUCAGAGGGAAUAAGGCAAAAGAUGUAAACUCUAGACAAAAACUAUAUGCCGAUCCUCUAAAUAUAUGAACAAAUUUAAAAAAAAAAAUUGGCCAUGCCCGUAUUUGAUACUUAUUGUUGAAUUCGAGUAACAUAGUCAACUAGACAUACCAAAAUCAGACCCCAUCCAGUCAGCAGAAAUGCAAGACAGCAGACAAGUAAAUCCUUGAACGACAGUUCACAGAUGACUGAGAGACUAAUAACAAUGGCCAAAAUCCUUUACAAUUGUUUGAUUCCUCAGUCAUAUUGCCUUGGAAUCUUCGGAAGUCAAGACAAGUCUAGCUCAUCAGCUUUGCCAUUCAUCUUGAAACUCCAAGCCAAUAUGUCGUGCGUGAACCCAGGCUAUAUAAACAAUGCAAAUAAAAUAUAUGAAAUCACGGUGUACUGUAAGUAUAGAGAUUAAAUUGUAAUAUAGUUUUAGAUUUAUAAUGAAAUACAAAAAUAUUUCAAAAAUCGUACUCAAAGAAAGUAUGAACUAAAAUUGAAUUAAACAUUAACAAAGAAUAUGCAAAACUAAGUCUAAAUAGCUACUUCCUUAAUUAUGAUAGUAUGAUUAAACAUAAAUUGAAAGUAUAAAACUGGUAGACAAAUCAAUGAGAAAUGACAAACAAUAGUUCAUUAAUAUCCAUGAUUGUAAUUAAUCUAGACUUAUUCUACCAAAUAAUCAAUUUAGUCCUCUUAUCUUUCGAGCUGAUGGAUCUAAAUGGGACAACUGAAUCAGUUCUAGAUAAAAUCUCCUUUCAAUCUCAUCUACUUAAAUUUUCAUCUAGAGUCAUCAAUUUGAUCCAAUUAAUCAACUCAAAGCCUAGAAUUAAAUUAACUAUUCUCACUUCAAUUAACCAACUUUCUCAAAAAUUUAGUUAAGACCCAUUCUAAUGAUACUAGACCCACUUAAUUCGUAAACCAUGAAUAAAGUUAAUGAUACGAAAGAAUAGAGUUGAGAGAUGCGCAAUAAUCCAAAAAUUUCUGAUUGUGGAUAUCUUCUUUGAGUAGCAACUGAAAUUCUCAUAACGAAAGCGUGAAAUGAAAAAAUAAAUAUAUUUUUAUUAAAAUGAGUAUGAAGCGAGUGAAAUGAAAAAGAAAGGAAAACGGAUAAGGCUCCGAUUAAAGUUACUUUAAACAAGUAAAUAUAUUUUAUUCAAAUUUAUAGUUUAUUAUAUUUAUCUGUAAUCCUCACUUUAAAAAAGCAUUCCAAAUAUGCUUCCUCACUAGAGGUAAUAAUGGGUUGGACGGCCCGGCCUGACGGCCCACCCGAAAUAUGGGAGGAUUUGGGUAAAAAUAUAAGCCCGAAAUAUGGGUUUGGGUAAAAAAUGAGACCCGUUUAGAAAACGGGCUGGGCCUUAGGCAAAAAGUUUUUGGCCUGGGCCGAGCCUGGACAAAAUUUUAGUCCCAUAUUUUGGGCCGGGGUAGGCCCAGGGAUAGGACGUAGGCUGAAAAUUUUUUUUGGGCCUUGCCCGAACCCAGCCCGGCUCGGCCCAUGAUCACCUCUGUUCCUCACCUUAUCAUUUUUGCUUUUUUUCAAGUGCCAUUAUAAUUUUUGUUAAUCUUUCUUUUCCCUUAAUUAAAGCUUGAUGACUUAUAUUAUAUAUAUCCAUUUUAAAGAAAAUGUCACUAAAUUAUUGCUUUCGUUCUGUUUUGGUUAUUAAAUUAUUAAUUUUUUCGAUUUCGUUACUAAAUUUUUCGAAAUUAAUUAUUUUGAUCACUUUCUCGUUAAUUGUCAUUAGAUAAGUGAGGAAAAGCUAACACAAGUUUAUUUUAUUGUUCAAAGUAAUCCCUAUAUAUUAAAUAAAAAUUCAAUUUAAUUAUUGAAUUAAACUAAAAAUUCAAAUAAACUCAUAAUAUUACAACUUUUUUAUUAUAUAUAAUAUUUCCAAAUAAUAAAUUUAAAUUUAUUAUGAUUAUCAAACUUUUGUUUCAAUAUACCUACUAUAGUAUAUUUUCACUUUUUAAAUUGAUUAUAAUUAUUUUUUAAAUGUUAAUUUAAUAAUACGAUAAAAAAAUAAAUGAUAUUUUUAUCGAUUUAAUUUUUUUAAACUUAUGCUUUUAUAGAUAUUAUAGAUGGAUUAUAGAUUAUAGGAAUAGGGUCUAAUGGCUAAAAAGAAAAAUUAUGUACCGGCUAUGUGAAGGCAUUAUACAAUGGAUCAUCAAAGUAGAAAGAUUAGUAUUAGAUAAAGUGAAAGUGAGUGUCCUCCACUCAUUUUACUUUUAAAAAAAAAAAUUUAAACAAAAAAGACUUUACUUUUGUUCUACGAACCUUUCUGUUUGUAGGAUUUCUGCACUCACAUCUUGAAAUCCAAAUUCAAGAUUUUAAAGAAAUUUCUGAGCUUACUCACUAUUAUGGCUUGGUCUGCUGUGACAUCUGCAGUGACAACAAUUGGCAACCUACUAACUCAGGAAGCCAUAUACCUAUGGGGUGUGGAGGAGCAAGUUAUGGAUGCAAAGCUCCUUAAUGGAGGCAGAGACAAAACAAUCAAAGGAUGAGAGGAUUCGUCUGUGGCUUGCUGAAAUCAGAGAGCUUGCUUAUGAUGCUGAGGAUAUUGUUGAGGAAUUUGCUCUCAAGAUUGGAUCCAAAAACAAAGGUGGCCUUCCGAGUUGUAUUAAAAGAUCAGCCUGCUGUUUGAAAGAGGGAUGGGUGCUCCAUGAAACCAGGUCAAAGAUCGAGAAAAUCAUAGAAAGAAUCAACGACUUGGUCCGGCGACUACAGGCCUACGGAGUAAAGGAAUUAAAGGACAGAGGAGAAGAAUCAAGUUUUUCAACUGAAAGACGAGAAUCAAGGCGGCCUUAUCCACAUAUUAUGGAUGAUAAUAUUGUUGGACUAGUUGAUGAUACCGAGGGAUNNNNNNNNNNNNNNNNNNNNNNNNNNNNNNNNNNNNNNNNNNNNNNNNNNNNNNNNNNNNNNNNNNNNNNNNNNNNNNNNNNNNNNNNNNNNNNNNNNNNNNNNNNNNNNNNNNNNNNNNNNNNNNNNNNNNNNNNNNNNNNNNNNNNNNNNNNNNNNNNNNNNNNNNNNNNNNNNNNNNNNNNNNNNNNNNNNNNNNNNNNNNNNNNNNNNNNNNNNNNNNNNNNNNNNNNNNNNNNNNNNNNNNNNNNNNNNNNNNNNNNNNNNNNNNNNNNNNNNNNNNNNNUUGAUGAUGUUUGGACCAGUGAAGCUUGGGAUAGUCUAAAACCUGCCUUUCCAGUUGCAACGGGCCGUGAUAGCAAUAGCAAGAUAUUGCUCACCUCUAGAAACAAGGGGAUAGUUUCAGAUGCUGAGAUAAGAGGUAAAAUUUUCUUAAUUAGGUAAAAUUGAAUACUCUUAUUCCUUUGAUGGAAAAUAACCAUGUAUAUUAUUUCAGAGUUGAAGUGCCUAAACGAUGAAGAAAGUUGGGAAUUGUUUCAAAAGAUUGUAUUUCCUCAAACAGGUAAAUAUACGUAUAGCAAAAUUCUUGUUAUAUGCUAAAUUUAUUUUUCAUUUAAAAUUUUUUUUUGGUGAAAGUAAGGACCUUAUCUUUGAUAUGCCUCAAAGUUAAUGUUUUCGAAAGCCCCCACAAAGAAGGGACACCCAAGUAGGCGUCCGAAUUAUUUGCCACCUCUAAGUUAGUCUCUUCUUGAAUCAACCUUUCGUUGUCCCUUUGGGAGUAUUCACACUAAAAACGUUGCUUGAUUUAUCAUAGUUGACCCUUCGUCCAGAAGCUGCACAAUAUUCUUGAAUCAAGUUAAUCAUUCUCCUACAAUUUAACGAACUAGCUUCCAAAAAGAAUAGAAAUCGUUCGUGAAUAACAAAUGUGACACUACUGGAUAAUGACUACUAAGGCUAAUCCCAGAAAUAAAACUAGACUCGACUCUAAUAAUAAUCACUACCCCUAGAACUCCUUUCAAUAUAUUCACCAUGAUCUUCGAUAUGAUUUAAUACUUAAAAUUACAAGGACUAAUUGACCUAAAUUAUGUCAUUAAUUCAAGACAUUUAGUUUUCAGAAUUAAAAUUAUUUCAAUCUCGUUCAAAAAUUUCCCUUCCCUUAAUAGCUUCCAAAACAUCCUUUUUAAUAAUUUCCCAAUAAUUAUUAUAGAAAAUCCCGUUAAAAUCAUUUGCAAAAAAAGAGAUUAAUUUAAUUGUUUUGUAUGCUUAACUUGUACAAUAUAAGUAAAAUCUUAUAAUUUUAUCUCCAAAUUCUCUCAACACAAUUUUCUGACCCUUAUUUAUAAUCUCAUUUGCAUCACACAGGAUAUCCAAUUUAAAAUUAAAUAAUUUUUUUUAUAUAAUUCUUUAAAUAUUAAAAGUAUUUUCCUCUAUUAUUUUUUUUUGUUGGAGUAUUAAAUAUUAGCCUUGAAACCAUAAGGCAGGAACUAUUCCAAACAACCCUUAAAAAGAUAUGUAAAUUUUGUUUUUGAAUAUCAUUUUUACUUUUUUAGAUUUCAAAUUGGAUAAUGAACUAUAUAUUUAUUCAUUCGAAACUCCUCUUAAAUUAGUGAGAGUGAAGUUUCUUAUUUAGUAUUGAUUGUUCCAUAAAAUUUUCAAAGUUUUCAAAGUUUUCAAAUAGAUUUAUUUUUUCAAGUGUAGUUAAUAACCGCAAUAAAAAUUAAACUUUAUAAGUGAUAAAUUUAUAUUAAAAAUUGUUUGAUAUAUUCAUAAAAUAUAAGUUUGAGUUCAUCUACUUUUACAUUUCUUUUACCUAUUUAAAUUAUUUCUUAAUUUUCCUUAUUUUUUAAAAAUUUAUUCUUAAUUUUUUAUAUAGGAAAUAUAAUCGACGUGGAAAUGAAAAAGUUAGGAGAGAACAUGGUUAAACAUUGUGCAGGGCUUCCAUUAGCCAUUGUUGUGUUGGGAGGAAUUUUGGCUACAAAGAAUAAUUCAUUAAACGAAUGGCAAAAGAUAUCUGACAAUGUAAAAUCAUACUUGAAGAGAGGCAAAAAUCAAGGACCAAAGGAUGUGUUAGCAUUAAGUUAUGAUGAUUUGCCUCCUUAUCUAAGACCAUGUUUCCUCUAUCUAAGCCAUUUUCCGGAGGAUUAUAUGAUAGAUAUGGAUAGAUUGAUUCAAUUAUGGGUUGCUGAAGGUAUUGUGUCAUCAAAGCAAGAAGAAAGAGACGGUGGGGAAAUUGCGGAAGAUGUGGCGGAAUCUUAUUUAAUGGAGCUUGUGGAAAGGUGCAUGAUUCAAGUACGAGAAAGAGAUGUGGCAACCUUAAAGGUCAAAACAAUUCAGAUGCAUGAUCUGAUGAGAGAUCUUUGCUUAUCAAAGGCAAAACAAGAAAAUUUUGUCUUCAUUGUCGAUCAAUCAAAUGCAUCUUCAUUAUCUAUGAUUCGGAAGGUUCGUAGGGUUUCUGUGCAUGAGUUUUUUUUCAUACAAUGCAUUAAAAGUCCAAAUAUUCGGUCAGUUUUGUUCUUCGAUGAGUUCUUUCCGGAGGAGGCAUUAGAAAAAUCUUUGCCCUUGGAAGUGUUGAAUUACGUUGAAGAACAUGUAGAUGAAGUUCGUAAUCCACUUGUUUGGAUUCUUAUGAUUUCGCUAGGUUGUACGAGACUUCUUAAAGCUCGGGGAAUUUGGAGAUACAUGUUCAACAACUUCAAAUUGCUAAGAGCCCUAAACUAUGAGAGAACAGGAGGUUAUCCUUUUGUAGGGUUUAAGUUACCCAGAGAUAUAGGAAAUCUCGUCCAUUUAAGAUUCUUGAGUCUAAAGGAUCAUGAGUUCUUAUGGCCAAAGUUGCCAUCAUCUCUACGCAACUUAAGGUGCUUGCAAACCUUGGAUUUAAGAGUUGGUUGUGGCAUAAUUCAUUUACCUAAUGUGAUAUGGAGGAUGGAGCAACUAAGACAUUUAUAUCUCCCUUUAAGAUGUAAAAGCAGUACUAAGUUGAAGUUGGGUACUUUGAGAAAACUCCUAACACUUGUGAACUCAACACCAAGAAUUGUUAUCUGAAGGAACUUAUGAACAUGACAAAUCUUAGAGAGUUGGAAAUAAAUUCGCCCUUCAAUAUUGAAAAUUUCAAUGAGACGGAGUUGGGCGAGAAUCCACCCAUAAUCGGAAGUAAAUGUCUUCAUUCCUUGUCUAUUAUUACCUCUGGGGACGAAUCAAUAGAUCCAAAACAUUUGGCCCAUCUCCUUUCAAAUUGUACAAGUAUUUGCAAGUUGAGUAUAGAAACAAGGAUAAGCGAGUUACCAGAGUAUCACUACUUCUCUUCACAUCUCGCUUAUAUAGGGUUGAGAUGGUGCAAGCUUGAGAAAGAUCCAAUGCCAACACUAGAGAAGCUGCCUAACUUAAGGAUUCUUGAACUCGAAAGUUAUUUCGAAGGAAAGGAAAUGUUUUGCUCUGCUCAUGGUUUUCCUAAACUUGAGUCUCUAAUCCUUACUGAGGUCAACAAUUUGGAGGAGUGGAAGGUGGAUGAAGGAGCCAUGCCUUCUCUUCAGCGAUUGGAGAUCAAGGGUUGCCUAGGAUUGAAGAUGCUUCCAGAGGGAUUGAGGUUCAUUACAACCCUCAAAGAACUGAAGAUUGAAUCAAUGCCAAAGGCAUUCAAAGAUAGAUUGGAGGAGGAAGGAGGAGAAGAUUUCUACAAAGUCAAACUUGUUUCUUCUAUCAUAUUCCAAAACUGUGGCUAAUAGAUUGAAGGAUAAUUGAGGGGUAAUUUCAUAACCUCUAGAUUAGGAAAUGAUUCCUACUUUCUUUGCUUCUUAUAUAUCUUCCAUUUUUGACAAUGUCUCACCUUCUCACUCCAUUUGUCUACACACGAAUGAAUAAUUAGAUUUAUUAAAAGUUAAAGGAAGUCGGACAUUGAUAUUUUUAGUUUUGCUUUUCAGGUAAAGAAGCCAUUUUUUCACCUGCUACUGCUAUUUACGGGAUCAAGUCUAGAUUUAAAACUCCUAUUAUAAGUUGCGUGUGAAAGUGUGUUAUAUGGUGAGGUUUGGAAUUAUCUUCUCUGUUGCAUAUAUCUAUGGUUGUUGACAUCAGACUGGUUGACUGUUUGUUGUUUUCUUCAAAUUACAAUAAAACGGUUGCAAGAUAAGGUAUGGGAAGAAUGGGAGGUGUCUGGAUUAGCAAGGUACCAAACCCCUCCUCCAUUUUAAUUUCCUUCAAUCUAAUUUAAUUACACAUUCAUUUUUGUCUUUUCAAACAUAAAAUUGCAGAUAAGGAGACGUCACUGACCUUUGCUCCGACAUAGCUUUGGUUUGCGUUGACCGUUCCUAUAUUUAUUUGUUAGCUUUGCUUUCUCUUUCUAUUUUUUCCCUACUUAAGUCUGCUUGAGUCUCCCUUUUUUUAUAUGUACUUUACCUAAUAUUAGAAGCCAAGGCAGGACCGUGCUUUUCUAUUGUAAAAUUCAUCACUUCGUUUGUCAAUGUUCAUUUCUACUCUUCAGUUUACUUAAAUAUAAUUGUUUGAUAUAUAUUUGAAUAUGAAGAAUAUAAUCUUUUUAAGAUAUACAUAUUUUAGAAAAAAUUGAAUAUAUGUAUGUCGGACACAUUUCCCGUUUCAACAUAUUUCCUUAUUUUAUGCAAGUCGAUUGGUAUUCAACAUACUCUUUUCCGUCAUCCUUAACUCAAUAAUCUUUGUUACGAUAUCAUAUCAGGUUUAAUAGUGGCAGUUCAUCCCCACACUUCCAAAGCCAAAAAUAGGAAAAAAAUUAAAUGUUACCAACUAAUAACACUUUCAAAUUACAUUGUCUUACAAAAAAAAAAAGAUACAAUUUGAAUUUUAGCAAGCUAUGCUUUAUAAAAGGCAAAGGAAUCUAAGGGAAUCUUUCAUUCAAGAUUUUGUAUCCUCAUGCCUUGCUUCUUAUAUCUACCAACAAUAUCUUUGUGAUAAUAAACUAAAAAAAAAACUGCAAAUCCAACUUAAUCGAUUGGAAAUUUCACAUCCACUUAAUUAUUUCAAAUGAUAUUUAUUCAAUAAGUUUAAAUUAAAAACUGUAAGAAUUUUCAUUUAUCUUUUAUUCAAAAUGUAAAUCGGAUUCAAUGAAAAUAUUGAACAUAUAAUGUGUGCACAUGGAAAUGUCCAAAUCGUUAAAUAUAGGGUCGACAUGAGAGAAAUCUCCUAAUGCCCAACGUUAAAUAUUUAUAAAAUUCAAUAUGAUCCUAUUAUUUUCGUUAUAAAACUCAAUAUCUUAUUCGGAUUAGGAUACAAGCGAAUAACAGAUAACUAUUUGUCGUUCAAGGUAUGAUAAAAUCUCAGUAGCUAAGAUAUGAAUGUUGCAAAAUACCAUACAAAAUCACAGCCACAUUUGUUAGUAUGGCUAUUUUGGGUAAUCAAAGGAAAAAAAUGUUAGCUGUUGAGCAAACAAGGUGAACAGAUUAGAUAUUCCAAUUACGUUCAAGCACUUGACAAAUCCUUUCUGCAAUGGCUUCAGCACGCAUCCUAGGACCUUCAUCAUCUGCAAAAAUCGACCAUUUCUAACAACUAAGCUAACAUCACACAUGAUAAUAUAUGUAUAUAACAUAUAUAGAUGAUGAUUAUGUGGAUUAAAAGCUAUGUUAGUUUGACUCAAUACAUGACCAUGGGACAUGCACGAUUCUUCAAUAACGANNNNNNNNNNNNNNNNNNNNNNNNNNNNNNNNNNNNNNNNNNNNNNNNNNNNNNNNNNNNNNNNNNNNNNNNNNNNNNNNNNNNNNNNNNNNNNNNNNNNUUAAAUACAUCAAUAUCUAACAUUUACAUCUGAGUUCGAGUAAAGUAAAACAUGUCAUUCUACCUAAACAUGCAAAAUAUCCAAGACUCUUGACGAAUGUUAGAUACAAAUAUGUAGAAUGUACCCAAAAUACCCAUCUCGAACUCAGUAGAGAAAUAUCUAGCACUCAAAAGGCACUAGCUUCAACCAAGAACAAGGAAGUUUCUUCAAAGGCUUGAUAUACUUUCUUCACGGCCAUAUAUAUGUGUGCAUAUACCCAUAUUAAGGACGAUUGUUUUGGCAAAGAGGAUGAGAAGAUAGAAAGAAAACCUUUAAUCCAAUGACAAUAUUUGAUUAUAACAACAUGACACAUAUAAUUGUGAUUAAAAUUGUGGUCACAAACAUGUUUGCAAUCACAUCAUGUUAACGAAUACUAUCGCAAUCAAUUGCAAUAAAUAUCCACAACAAGAAGAGCGAAAAUCCUAAAAACAACAAAGAUAAUACAUUACAGCUGUUAAAGAAUUUUCAAUAACAUAUAUACCUGCAAGAUUUUCAGUGAUGACACAACAAAGUUCACCACCAGACAACUUCCCGAUCUAAUGAAAUUUUCAAACAUAUCAUAAGUUUCAAGAUCAACUGAAACAUGCGAAUACUGUUGGUGUUAAGAGGUAACAGCAAGCUGAUUUGAGCUUGCUUAUACAGCAAGGCUCGAGGCUUGCAGAAGAAACAAUUGAAGAAAGAAACAGAAAAUGAAGCUUGCGAAUGGAAAACAGAAAAGAAAGAAAAAGUUUGAAUGAAAACAAGCUAAAAUUUUCAUUAAUUGUCAAAGAGGCAUAAUGCCAUUAUAUAUAUGAGUUAACAAUCACAAAAUAAACAAGUUACUACCUAAACUUAGACCUAACACCAUUAAUUUACAUUGAACUUGUUAAAUUUGCUUGAGUACAUAAACAAGUCACCUAAACUUGUCAUUCAGCACCUAAUUACAUCAAAAUGCAGCUACCAACUAAGUUUUAUUCAAACUAGAAUACAAAACAUUCAUUAAAGAAACUAAAUGAAACAAAAUAACUUCAGUUUGCUGCUUGAAGCACGUUCUCUGCAUGGCCACCUUGGCUGCUGCAUGGGGGCUGACUUCAACACUCUUCCUCAGCUUCUAUGCUGCAGACUCCUAGUUGCUUUCUUAGGCUUAGAAAUCUCGUUGUACCAAGAGACUUUGUAAAGAUAUCAGCAAUUUGAUUUUCAGAGCUGCAAUAAAUCAGCUCGAUCUCUCGAGCUUGUUCCAGUUCUCUUAUCACAUGCAACUUUAUGUUGAAGUGUUUUGUUCUGCCAUGAAAGACUGGAUUUUUGGCAAUUACAAUAGCUGACUUGUUGUCACAAUAAAUCUUGGUUGCUUCAUUAAAUUCAAAUCAGUGAGGAUUUUUCUUAGCCACAUAGCUUGAUUAACAACAUUAGCAGCUACUACAUACUCUGCUUCUGCUGUUGAUUGAGCCACCAUUGUUUGUUUUCUUGAACUCCAACAAAUCAUAGUUGAGCCAAGUGUAAAAGCAUAACUAGAAGUGCUCUUCAUAUCAUCUUUUGAACCAGCCCAAUCGCUGUCAGUGUAGUCAAUCAAUUUCAACUCUUCAGCCUUUUUAAAAUGUAUUCCAUGGUUCAAGGUACCUUUGAUGUACCUUAGCACCCUUUUUCCUGCUUUGUAAUGCUGCUGAUUACAACAAUGCAUGAAUAUUGACAGCAUGCUUACUGCAAAUAGAAUAUCAGGUCUCGUUGCUGUCAAAUAUAACAAGCAGCCAACAAGGCUUCUAUAAUCUGUUCCACUGAUAGGUUCAUGAUCUUCUUGACUCGAUAGUUUCAUGCCAACAACCAUAGGUGUGCUGGUUGGCUUGUAGUUCUCCAUUGAAAAUUUGGCUAGAACUUUCAAAGCAAAUGAUUUCUGUCCCAAGAAGAUUCCUUCAUCUGCUUGAUUAACUUCCAUUUCUAGGAAGUAAGUCAUCAAUCCCAGGUCUGACAUUUCAAACAUCUCCUUCAUUUUUGUUUUAAAAUCAGCCAACCUGAGUUUGUCUCCUCCAGUCACUAAAAGAUCAUCAACAAAAAGUGACACAAUGAGCUGUGUUUCAGCUCGAUUCUUUUUAACAUAGAGAGUUGGCUCACUGGCACUUCUUUCAAAUCCCAAACUGACCAGGUAUGAGUCAAUUCAAGCAUACCAGGCUCUAGGAGCCUGUUUCAGGCCAUACAGGGCUUUUCUUAGCCUAUACACCAAAUGUUCUUUACCAGGCAUUGUAAAUCCUGGAGGUUGCUCGAUGUACAUCUCCUCUUCCAACAAUCCAUUGAGAAAUGUAGACUUUACAUCCAUUUGGUGAAUUGUCCACUGAUUCUGAGCAGCUAGAGCAACCAGUAAUUUGAUUGUAUUGAGUCUGGCUAUUGGAGCAAAUGUUUCCAUGUAGUCCAGACCAUAUCUUUGACUGAAGCCCUUCAUAACUAGUCUAGCUUUCAACUUAUUUAAGCUUCCAUUUGCAUUGUGCUUUACUCGAUAGACCUAUUUUACACCAAUGAUCUUUCUGUUAGCAGGUUUCUCAACCAACUCCCAUGUUUGGUUCUUCUCGAUCAUGUUGAUUUCAUCAACUAUAGUGUGCUUCCAGCCUUCAUCUGCCUCAGCCUCUUCAAAACAGGUAGGUUCUGCUAUAGCAACCUGUGCCCUCUCAUAAAUCUCAUCUAGGGACCUUGUUCCUCUCACAGGUACAUCAUCAAUGUCUAUUUCAGGACUAAGCUGCUCGAAUUUAGCUUGAUUAGGCACCAGGUCUUCUGUAAGAGCUUCUAGCUCAUUCUUUUCCCAAUUCCAGCAAGCCUUUUCAUCAAAGAUGACAUCUCUGCUUACCUGGAUUUUGCUUGUGAGGGGAUCUAGGAUCCUGUAGCCCUUCUUAGUUGAGCUAUAGCCCACUAGGAUACUUGGUUGAGCCCUUUUUGCAAGCUUGUCCCUUUUUACUGCUGGUAUUUGUGCAUAGCACAGGCAACCAAACACCUUCAGAUGUGCCAAGGAAGGCUUGAAUCCAAACCAAGCCUCGAAAAGUGUCUUGGAAGCAAGAGCUUUGGUAGGAAGCCUAUUCUGGAGGUAGACAGCAGUGUUUACUGCCUCAGCCCACAUGCUCUUGGGCAGUUUCUUCUCAAACAGGAGGCAUCUGGCCAUAUCCAUCAGGCUUCUGUUCUUCCUUUCAGAUACCAUAUUCUGCUGAGGUGUGUACACAUUUGUUAGCUAGUGUUUGAUCCCAGCAUCACUACAAAUGGCUUGAAACUGAGCUGAAGUGUACUCAGUGCCAUUGUCUGACCUUAUCGAUUUUAGCUUGCAGCUUGUUUCUGUCUCAACAGUAAUUUUAAACUUUACAAACACUUGAGCUACCUCAGACUUGUGUUUCAAGAAGAAAAUCCAGCAAAACCUUGUAAAAUCAUCAAUGAAGAGGAUGAAAUACCUGUUUUUGCUAAGUGAUUCAGUCCUCAUCGGGCCACAUACAUCAGAGUGCACCAGCUGUAAUCUUUCAGUGGCUCUCCAUGCUGAAUUUGUAAGAAAUGGCAAUCUUGCCUGUUUUCCUAUCUGGCAAACUUCACACACAUCAUUAUGCUCCACUGAGUUGGUGAAGUUCUCAGCUAGACCCUCUUUGGCUAUUUGAGCUAUUGAUUUGAAAUUGGCAUGUCCAAGCCUUUGAUGCCAGAGCUUGGAAUUAUCAACAGAGGCUGUGUAUGCUGACUUUGAGUAAUUUGGCCAAUGAACCUCAAAGCAUUUGUCAGUCAUUGUGACUGUCAUAAGGCUUGAUCCACUUGGAUCAGCAAUGUGGCACUGUUUGUCCUUGAACACAACUGAAUAGCCUUUCUCGAGCAAUUGAGCUAUGUUGAGAAGGUUUCUGUCAAUCUCAGGCACCAACAGGACAUUUGAGAUGAUUUUGUUGCUUGUAGGAGUGCAUAACAUCACCUCUCCUCUUCCUUCAACCUUUAUAAACUGACCAUUUCCAACCUUGACCUUGGUUUUGCAACUUCUGUCCAAGGUUUUGAACAAGGAGGCAUCUGGUGACAUGUGGUUGGUGCAGCCACUAUCCAACAACCAGCCUUUAGAGCAUUUCUUCUCAGCAGCUAAGCAAGACACAGCAAAUACCUGCUCUUUUUGGUCACUACUGUCUUCAACCACUCGAGCUUUUUGCUUUUGACUGUUGAAAUUGGUUCUGCCUUGGUUUGGUUUUGUUUUUACACACCUUUUCGACAUGGCCCUUCUUUUUGCAGUGUUGGCAUACUACAUCUGGUCUAAACCAGCAUCUGUCUUCUGGAUGUCCUGGUCUCUUGCAAUAUCUGUAAGGCUGGUCACUGCUCCUUGCAGCAUCAGGCUUAGGCCUAUUUUUCCAGGGCCUUUUACCUCUAUGAGCAUUGAUGCUCGAGGCUUCUCUGGCCUUGGCUUGAAAUGCACCUUCCUGGUGAUCUUCAGCUCUGCUAGCUCUUCUUUGUUCCUGAGCAUAGAAAGUGUUAAUCAGCUCAGUCAAAGAGAUGCUAGCAAGGUCUCUUGAGUCCUCUAAGGAGGAUAUCUUUGCCUCAUGUCUCUCAGGCAAAGUGGAGAGGACUUUCUUCACGAUUCUUGCCUUAUCAAAGUGCUCACCUAGGAGCCUUAUGCUGUUAACCACUGCCAUGAUUCUAUCUACAUACUGCUUCAUUGUUUCUUCUUCCCUCAUCUUCAGAUUCUCAAAGUCUCUCCUCAAAUUCAACAGUUGUUGUUGCCUUGUCCUUUCUAUGCCUUGAAACUCCUCCUAAAGCUUAUUCCAGGCCUGUUUUGGAGUCUCAUAGGCCAUAAUUCUGGUGAAUAUGACAUCUGACACACAAUUCUGGAUGUAGGACAUAGCUUUGUGCCUUUUGGUCCUCUCAUCAGCGUGUUGUCUGAUCUGAGCUACUGUGAGAUUGGCCCUCAGUGGUGCUGGCUCAACAUCUGUGUUAACAACUUCCCACAGAUCAAAGGCCUGCAAGUAAGUUUUCAUCUUAACCAGCCAUACGUGGAAGCCUUCUCCAUUGAAGACUGGUGGGGCUGCUGGUGAAAAUCCUGAAGAAGCCAUCCUGGUUUUUUGGUUUGAUAUAUCAGGUCCACUAAGACAAGGGCUCUAGAUACCAAUUCUUGGUGUUAAGAGGUAACAACAAGCUUGUAAUGCCCAAUUUUAGCCCGAGCCCAAAACCAAAACAUACAGUCCAUUACAAAUAAAAUUAAUUACAGGCCCAAAAUACCCAACAGGCCCUAAUUAAGAAACCCUAGCCCAAAAACAUAAUUUUUUUUCAGUACCAAACCCUAGCCCCCCUAAGCAUGCGCCGCAUCCCCUUGUCGGCCACUCCCUCGCGCCGCCCCCACCAGUCCCGUCGCCAGGCCGCUCGUGCCGCCCAAGGUGCCCCUCUGUCACACUCCUUUUGACCGAAAUAGCCACCUCCAGACAGAAAAGCAAAAAGAAGAACAAUUAAAAUGAUAGCAAGGGUAGAAGAACAGUGAUAGCAGUUAAUCUUGGCUAUAAGAGCCACGGAAAUAUCAAUGUAAAGGGAGGACAGAUUUUUAGAGUUUGAAAAAAGGGUUCCGAAAAUUUAAAAACAGAAGAAAAUAAAAAAAUAGAUCUAUUCGAAAAGCAAUUUGCAGUUUCUAUUUUGUUCUCUUUUCUUUUGUUUUGAUACAAAAAACAACUUCAAGAACUCAAAAAAGAAAAAAACAGAUCUAAAAUUUAACAUUCCAAGGUGAUUUUAUUUUCGUUUAUAUUUCUUUUCCUUUUGUAUUUAUUUAUUUUUUUCUUUUUCAAAAGAACAGUUUAUAUUUGUGCAAAAAUCAUACAUAGAAAAAUAUAUAAAAAAAUUACCUUUUAAAUUUUUCAGGCCACCGUGCACGGUGGCCGGCGCGGCGGUGGAGCGGCGGCGCUGUUCACCGGAUUCUGGGCAGUGCCCAGAAUGGGGGAGAGGAAUUGAGAGCAUUUUCAGAAAUUUUUUGGAGAAAAGAAGGGAAGAAUGAAAAUUAAAAAUAAAAACCAACUUAAAUAGGCCUCCAAAACGACGUCGUUUUGGGCAGGCCUCUCAGGCACCAAAACGGCGUCGUUUUGGCUUUGACCCGAUUCGCCCGACCCGCUCCAGGCUAGGAUCCGCGUGUUUUUAGCGGAAGGGCUAAUUGCACUUUCAGCCCUUCCGCUUUAAAAUAAUUUUACAAUCAAGGCCCCUUUUGUUUUUUUAAAUUCGCACAGUAGUUUAUUAUUUUUACAAUUUGGUCCUAUGAUGCUGUGCGUUUUGGGAAAGAGGGAAAAAUUGCUCUCUUGAUCCCUUCUUGUUGUUUGCGCGUUCAGCUUUGUCCUUCCUCUUUUAUUUAUUUAUAGAUUUGGCCCCAAAUUUUGUUUUAAUAUCUAAUUUAGCCCUUCUUUGUUAUUUUGUUUGUUUUAUUAUUAAAUUAAUAAAUGAUAUGUUAUUAUUAUUGUUAUUUAUUAUUAGUUUUUAUUUUAUAUUUAUUUAUUUAUUCAUCAUCAUUAUAUAAAUUAGUUUUGCAUUACCUUUUAUAUAUUAUAUUAUAUUAUAUAUAUUAUAUAUAUUUUUUAGUUUUUUUAGUUUUUAUAUAUAUAUAUUUUUAUCUUACUGUAUCUUUAUUAUUUAUCAUUUACUUCAAGCUUUUCUAUGUUUUCUAAAUUAUUAUUAUUAUUAUUAUUAUUAUUAUUAUUAUUAUUAUUAUUAUUAUUAUUAUUAUGUUUAUACUCUUUUAAUUUUAAAUUCUUGUUAUAUAUUUACAUAUACAAACGCAUACUUUUUAUAAUAUAUAUGUACAUAUUUUAUUUUAUUUUAUUUUAUUUUGUGUGUAAAUAUAUACAUUUUCCCGAUGCAUAUACACAUACAUUUUAAAGUUAUUAUAAAUAUAUUUUAUAUUUCAUUUUUCAUACUUACACAUACCUAUAUCUAUUUCUACGUAUUUUAUUACACAUAGAUAUACGUAUACAUAUUUUUAAAUAUUUUUUAUAUUUUCAUAAUUCUAAAAUAUAUAUAUACAUGUAUUUAUAUAUUUUUAUUUCUUUUAUGGUUUCGUUAUUUCGCGCUGUGUUUAUUUUAUUUUAUUUAUUCAUGCCCACUUUCAUUCGAAUAGUGUAUUUGCUUAUUCUUUUGCAUGUUUAAUUCGUUUUUUAUUUAUUUAUCUUUUAUUUGUUGUUACUUGUAUUAUUCAUACUUACAUUAUCGAAUUUAUUAUUGUUUUGUUAUGAGCAUUAACAUCAUGUUUUAUUUCUACUAUUACACGUUAAAUUAUUUUUCAUUCAAUGUAUAAAUUAUGAUUUUUGAAUAAACAAAAUUUCGUGUUUAGAUUUGAGAAAGUCGUACCCUAACUUACUAGGUUUUGAUUUUCACAAUGAAUAUAAAUACGUGGAUCUUUUCAAACUCAAAUUUUCAACGAUCUCGGGAUUUAUAAAAGAUCGUAUCCUAACUUACUGGGUAUGAUCCCUUUUUUAAACCCGAGAUAAUUGAAUAGCUUUUAAAUAAUUUCUUCGGCAUUUAUUCUUGAAUCGGGAAUUUAAAGACAUUGUGUCCUAACUUACGGGAUAUAAUUCUUUUUCUUGAUUAUCGUGAAAAUGCCCUUCUCUCGAAAACUUUUAGCAUUUUAAUAAAAGAUCGUAUUUUUAAAUUUCUUCAAAGUUCUCAAUUUUCGACAUUAAGACAUUAAGUAAUCAACUAGGUACCAAUUUUGGGCGUUACGAGGGUGCUAAUCCUUCCUCGUACGUAACCGACUCCCGAACCCGUUUUCUAAAUUUCGUGGACCAAAAUCGUUGUUUUAAUAAAAUUAAACUGUUUAUUAAAAACAACCAGUUUUCGAGGCGAUCCAAUCACACCUCGUUAAAAAAUGAUUGGUGGCGACUCCCACAUUCGAUUUCAUUUUUUUAAAAACCCAAGUCGAAUCCGUUUUCACCCAAAAAAUGGUGUCAACAAAGCUGAUUUGAGCUUGCUUAUAUAGCAAGGCUCGAGGCUUGCAGAAGAAACAAUUGAAGAAAGAAACAGAAAAUGAAGCUUGCGAAUGGAAAACAGAAAAGAGAGAAAAAGUUUGAAUGAAAACAAGCUAAAAUUUUCAUUAAUUGUCAAAGAGGCAUAAUGCCAUUACAUAUAUGAGUUAACAAUCACAAAAUAAAUAAGUUACUACCUAAACUUAUACCUAACACCACUAAUUUACAUUGAAACUUGUUAAAUUUGCUUGAUUACAUAAACAAGUCACCUAAACUUGUCAUUCAGCACUUAAUUACAUCAAAAUGCAGCUACCAACUAAGUUUGAUUCAAACUAGAAUACAAAACAUUCAUUAAAGAAACUAAAUGAAACAAAAUAACUUCAGUUUGCUACUUGAAGCAUGUUCUCUGCAUGGCCACCUUGGCUGCUGCAUGAGGGCUGACUUCAACAGAUACCAAUUAUGAUAAGAAAUUAAAUUAAGGAUUUUCUACUGCAAGCCUACCACGAAAACAUAAUUUUUAUUAGGAUCAAAGGCGUAGCCCAUCAUGGCAGCAUUAUUGAGUCCAUUUUCAGAGGAAAAUCCUGAAACAUGUUACAGGCAAAUAUUAAGAAAAACAAUGCACAAGCAUAAGUACAAAAACAUAGCAUGCAAGAAAUCAAUACUUGAAAGGAUUAAAAUCACUGCUAACCUAAGACAUUGAAUCUAGCACCACUAGGAAACAUCCAAAAUGAUCCUUGUCUUUCAAUAUUGAGAUACAUACGUCCAAGUCUGCCAUGUUGCGCCAAACGGGAAUUCAUCAACCUCUUGAGAGCCUAAAGGAUGAAAAGUUCAAGUCCGAGUUAUAUAUAUACAGACACACACACAGAUAGACAUGAAGAAAGUGGGUUAAUGGUGUAUUAUUUAAGAAAAGAAAAAGUUGAAAUCUUGAACCUCUAAAUAUUGGGUAACAGCUAGUGUUAAAAGUGCAUAAAGUUCUGCUAUUAUCUACAAGAAACAAUGGAGGAAUCACAUACAUUGUUUAUAUUCACUUUUCUUGCUACACAAGCAAGCUGAGUCCAUAAACAAAGGCAUACCUUUUUCUCCGUUUUUAAAUGGUUUUCCUGUUUUUGGCUGCUUUUUAUAUUAAGAGAAAGAGAGUGUGUGAGACCUCGUCAUCCUCAAGGAGUAAGUGGUCAAGCACGAAGAUGAUGGGAAGACCACGAGUCUAUGGUGGUCGAUCCAUGAGUUGAUUAUGAGUAGCUUCAUGUUAUGAAGUAAAAAUGUUAGCUAAGUUAGUUGAGUGCUGUGUUUUAGGGCUGAGGGCUUAAUGAAACUAUAAGUUUUGAUGUUGAAUGAAAACGGUGUGUAUUGACGGUUUGUUACAACUGCUCGAGGAACAGCCCUAUAACAGACUUUGUAACUGCCAAUUCGCAGCCAUAAUAGAAACCGGCAUGGGAAAUGAGCAGAUAUGCAAUUUUGUGAAGGAAAUCAAUUCUUUCUUCUUCCUCGAUUCUCCUUCUCUUCUCUUUUUCUUUCUUCCUCUAUUCUGUUGAAAUUAUGCAUCACUUCACCAGCAUUCAUCAUUGUGGACGUAUCUGAUCUUCAGUCUCUGGUUUACUGCCCAUGUAAAGUUAUGGAAAGGAAUGCAAAUUUAAAAGGAUUUCUUGCUAUAGUCUAUGCAAUUUCAUGUGUGCGUGAAAGGAGAUGAAGAUUAAUAGAGUAAUACUGAUAUACCAACAAUUCAUUAAUUGAAGUACUAUCAAUAUUAUCAACAAGUAACAGAAUUAAGUGAGUAUACUAAUAUAGUCUAGAAUUAAGUGAGUAUACUAAUAUAGUCUAGAUUUAUAAUGAAAUACAAAAAUAUUUCAAAAAUUGUACUCAAAGAAAGUNNNNNNNNNNNNNNNNNNNNNNNNNNNNNNNNNNNNNNNNNNNNNNNNNNNNNNNNNNNNNNNNNNNNNNNNNNNNNNNNNNNNNNNNNNNNNNNNNNNNNNNNNNNNNNNNNNNNNNNNNNNNNNNNNNNNNNNNNNNNNNNNNNNUUUAAUAUCCAUGAUUGUAAUUAAUCUAGACUUAUUCUACCAAUUAAUCAAUUUAGUCCACUUAUCUUUCGACCUGGUGGAUCUAAAUGGGACAAUUGAAUUAGUUCUGGAUAAAAUCUCCUUUCAAUCUCAUCUACCUAAAUUUCCAUCUAGAGUCAUCAAUUUGAUCCAUUUAAUCAAUUCAAAACCUUAAAUUAAAUUAACUAUUCCCACAUCAAUUAAGCAACUUUCUUAAAAAUUUAGUUAAGACCCAUUCUAAUGAUAUCAGACCCACUUAAUCCGUAAACCAUCAAUAAAGUUAAUGAUAAGAACGAAUAGAGUUGAGGGAUGCUCAAUAAUUUGUGGAGAUCCUCAUAAUGAAAGCGUGAAAUAAAAAAUAAAUAUAUUUUUAUUAAAAUGAGUCAGAAGCGAGUGAAAUGAAAAAGAAAGGAAAACGGAUAAGGCUCCGAUUAAAGUUAUUUAAACAAGUAAAUAUAUUUUUAUCCAAAUUUAUAAUUUAUUAUAUUUAUCUGUAAUUCUCACUUUAAAAAAGCAUUCCAAAUAUGCUUCCUCACCUUAUCAUUUUUGCUUUUUUUCAAGCGCCCUUAUAAUUUUUGUUAAUCUUUCUUUUCCCUUAAUUAAAGCUUGAUGACUUAUAUUAUAUAUAUCCGUUUUAAAGAAAAUGUCACUGAACUAUUGCUUUCGUUUUGUUUUGGUUAUUAGAUUAUUAAUUUUUUUGAUUUAGUUACUAAAUUUUUCGAAAUCAAUUAUUUUGAUCACUUUCCCAUUAAUUGUCAUUAGAUAAGUGAGGAAAAUUACUUUCUCAUUAAUUGUCAUUAGAUAAGUGAGGAAAAGCUAACACAGAUUUGUUUUAUUGUUCAAAUUAAUCCUUAUAUAUUAAAUAAAAAUUCAAUUUAAUCCUUGAAUUAAACUAAAAAUUCAAAUAAACUCAGAAUACCACAACUUUUUAUUAUAUAUAUUUCUUUUUCCAAAUAAUAAAUUUAAAUUUAUUAUGAUUAUCACAACUUUUAUUUCAAUGUAACUACUAUCAUAUAUUUUCACUUUUUAAAUUGAUUAUAAAUAUUAUUUAAAUAUUAAUUUAAUAAUAUGAUAAAAAAAUAAAGGAUAUUUUUAUCUGUUCAAUUUUUUUUAAACUUAUGCUUUUAUAGAUAUUAUAGAUUAUAGGAAUAGGGUCUAAUGGCCAAAAAGAAAAAUUAUGUACCGUCUAUGUGAAGGCAUUAUAAAAGGGAUCAUCAGAGUAUAAUGAUUAGUAUUAGGUAAAGUGAAAGUGAAUUGAUUAAGUCCUCCAAUCAUUUUACUUUUAAAUAAAAAAAAAUUAAACAAAAAAACUCUACUUUUGUUCUACCUACCUUUCUGUUUGUGUUCUCAUUCUAUUAAUUAAGUACUGCUUCUUGCAAUUGUUUUCCCAGCAAGAUUGCGGCACACACAUCUUGAAAUCCAAAUUCAAGAUUUUAAAGAAUUUUCUUAGCUCGAUCACUUUUAUGGCUUUUUCUGCUGUUGCAUCUGCAGUGCAACAAUUGGCAACCUGCUAACUGAGGAAGCCAUAUACCGAUGGGGCGUGGAGGAGCAAGUUGAUCGUCUGCAAACAGAGCUCAAUUGGAUGCAAAGAUACUUAAUGGACGCAGAGACAAAACAAUCAAAGGAUGAAAGGAUUCGUCUUUGGGUUGCUGAAAUCAAGGAUUAGGAAGGUACGAAACACCUCCACUUUAAUUUCCUUCUGCUUAAAUUAGAUGUUUUAAGUUAAUUUUUAGUUUUGAACAUGUUAAAUUGCAGGAUAAUGAGACGCCACUGACCUUUAUUCGGAUGUAGCAUUGCAUUUACAUGUUUGGUUUGCAGUGACCAUUCAUAAAUUUUGCUGUGACUACCCUGUUGCUAGUUCUUUUUUCCUACUUCGAUCUGCUCAAGUCUUUUAUGAUAUAAUUAAAUGUAAAAAUAUGUAAUAGUAGAAGCCAAGACAGGAUAUUGUAAAAUUGAUCAUUUUGUUUUUAAUGACCAUUUGUUCUCAUCUUUUUUCAUUUUUCAUAAAUGUGUCCAAUAUAUAUUUAUUGAAUAUAUUUAUGCUGGACACAUAUCCUAAUGUGGUACACUAAAUCUGAGUCAUAUUGUGCAAUAUUGGUGAAUUACUAGUUGGUGCAGAAUCAUAUACAUCGAUGUUCUGUCAUUUGUUGAAGAUAAAAGAUCCAAAGCCUCCAUUAUUAAAAUGAAAAAAAGAAAGAAAAUUGGAUAUUCGUUUCUUUCUAGAUUUAGAAUAUAGAUAUUUGUAAUAUUGAGAUGAUAAACGAUUAAUAAAUGGAUUAAAUAGGAUCUAAUGUCUAAUUACAAUCCAAGAGGAACAGGCUCCUGCCGCCAUAAAAAAUUCCAUAAUUACUUAUUUUAUUGUAUUUUUUGAUAACACAUUGAUUAUUGCAUGGAACAUUGGUUAAGAACAAAAUAGGAACCAAGAACAAACAAUGUCUUCAAACAUAUUAAAAUGACAGCUCCAAAUCCUUACUUCAAUUAUUGUUGUGUUGGGUUUAUUUUGGAUUAGCUAAUGGAAAUAAUUGAAGCUCAGCAUGACAGCAAAUCAGGUUCUUUUUCUUCUUCCUCUGUCCUUUCUCUCUAUUUAGAUACAUGUUCAUUUCGUGUUUAUUGCAGAUGUUGUCUGAAUGAUUUCUAUGAAUAUUAAUGGCAGCAAAGCUGAAACCGUAAAAUAAUGAUCCAGUAAAGUUGGUGUUUCAGUUUCUAUUUAAAUCGCAAACAACUUCCCUAUUAAUCAAACAAAUGCUCUAAACUUGAAUGUCAUGAACAUGUCAAAAAUCAUACCUUGUAGUCAUGUAUGAAUGUGAGGAAAAGUGAAGAACAGAGAACCACAGGCCACACCUGUCAUCAAUGUGUUAUAACAACAUCCUUAACAUCAUAAGCAAGCUCUUUAAUAACAAUGAAAAUUAACCAUAAAACAAAAUUGAAGGGAACUUUAAAAUAUUUUUUAAUAAUAACUUGGGAAGUACUUUAAAUGUGAAAAUUGGGUGUUUACCCAAAUGAUGAAUGGAUGUCUCCUAGGUAAAACUCCCACAAUCUAAUGGUUACAAAUUAUAUAAGUGUACAAUCGGAUUGUGGUUUCUAGAAUGUUUUAUAAACUAAUAAAUUAAAAAUUAUUUGGUGAAUUAAUAAAAUAUAAGUGUUCAAUAUAAUUGUAUAAUUAAUAUUUUUGGGUUCAUCUAUUUUUACUAUGUGCUUUUUUAAAAAAAAAAAAUUUUGGUUUAACUAUUUUUACAUUUCUUUUAUUUACUGAAAUUCAUUUUUAAUUUUCACUAUUCUUUUAAAUUUAUUUUUAAUUUUUUAUACAAAUAAUAGAAUCGAUAUGAAAAUGAAAGAGUUAAGGAAAAACAUAGUUAAACAUUGUGCAAGGCUUCCAUUAGCCAUUAUUGUAUUGGGAGGAAUUUUAAUGUGUUAACUUUAAGUUUCGAUAAUUUAUCUCUCUAUCUAAGACCAUGUUUCCUCUAUUUAAGUAUACAUAUUUUUUUAAAAUAUAUUUUCAAUUUUUUGGAAAAUAUAUAUUUUUAAUAUUUUUAGUAUUUUUGAUGUAUUUUUUUAAAAUUUAUAUGAACCGGACCGCGUUUUAACAUUUUUAUCCGGACCGAACUUAGAAAAAAUUUUAGAUCCAUUUUUUAUGCCAAACCCAAGUCUAACAAAUGGACCUAAAAUUUUAAUUAGGCACGGCUAUGAACACCUCUAAUUAUUUGUAGCUAAAAUUCCCUGUAAGUUCAAUACAAUUUACUAAAAAUUUCAGUUGAUUUACUUGUUAUAUUCAUCACCUAAAUAAAUCAACAAAUAAAUGACGAAUUAUCCCUCUAAGCUGCAAUAUGAACCUUCCAUCAAUUGUCUCUAGGUUCAGUCAUUUUAUUACAUAAGUAUUCUUAAUUAAAAAAAUAAGGAAAAAAUGUAAUUUAUUCUAAUUAAUUAUUGAGCAAAAAUAAAUAAAAGAAAUUGUUAGAGCCUCAGUUUGUUCUUCAAUUAAAAUAAAAUAAAAUAAAUAAGGAUAAUAAUUUUUAAAAAUAAAUAAAAAUUAAAACAUGAGAAAAUCAAUAUACAUUUUUUAUACUCACUAGUUUUGUUGUCAAGAACUGAAAAGCACUUCAAUUCCUUGUAUCCGAAUACAUAUCCUUUUAAAAUUUAUCGAAAAAUAUUUAUUUUAAUGUAACUUAAAAGAUAACAGCCUGGAUUUGAUUAUCAAAUUAAAAAUUCAAAUAAGUUUACAAUAUUAUCAAUUUUUUUUAAUUUAUAUAUAUAUUUCCAAAUAAUAAAUUUAAAUUUAUUAUGAUAAUUACACCUUUUAUUUUAGUAUAACUAUCAUGAUAUAUUUUUUUCCAAUUUUUUUAAAAAUUUAUUAUAAUUAUUUGUAAAUAUUAAUUUAAUAAUACCAAGAAAAAUAAAAGAUAUUUUUGUAAAUAUAUAUUUUUUUAAAUUGGUACUUUUAUAUAUAUAAUAUGGAUAGAUUAUAAAUAUACAUUGUACAUGGUGGCAAAAAAAAAUGUUUAUAGGGUAUAUGUAAAGGCCAUAUACUAUGGAUCAUCAAAGUAUAAAGAUUAGUAUUAGAUAAAGUGGAAGUGAGUUGAUUAAGUCCUCCACUCAUUUACCUACGUACUCUUCCUUUUUUCUAAUUAAAUAAGACUGAUUAGAUACUUUUAAAUAAAAUACUUUCCUAGUCUUCCUUUUUUUUUUCCCACUUUUAUUUAGUGUUAGAUAAAGUGGAAGUGAGUUGAUUAAGUCCUCCACUCAUUUUCCUACUCUUCCUUUUUUCUAAUUAAAUAAGACUGACUCUAUACUUUUAAAUAAAAUACUUUCCUAGUCUUCCUUUUUUUUUUCCCCACUUUUAUUUAGUGUUAGAUAAAGUGGAACUGAGUUGAUUAAGUCCUCCACUCAUUUUCCUACUCUUCCUUUUUUUUCUAAUUAAGUAAGACUGACUAUAUACUUUUAAAUAAAAUACUUUCCUAGCCUUCCUUUUUUCCAAUUUUAUAAUCAGCAGAUCAAGAAAGAAGUAUUGAUUUUGGGAAAUUUGUUAGUUUAGUGUUCCUUUUCACUAUUUUUAAAAAGUAUUGUAAAAAUGGUAAUUUUGAGGAGUACUUUUAGAAAGUUUAGUUUAAGAUUUAAGUAUUUAGUAUUACUGUAAAAAAAUACUUUUGAUAAAUAAAAUAUCUAUUUUAGAUAUUAUGUUAUAAAGUAAAAAAUAUGUAUUUAAAUAAUGUUUAAAUUAGUUAAUAUUAUGAUAUCUUAGUAAGAAUAUAAAAAUAAUUUAUUAUAAUUUGUUGUUAAUAUUUUAAUAUAUGAAAUAUAAAUUUUAAUUUUUUUAAGUAACUAAUAUUAAUUAUUCAUAAAAUCUAAUUCGAAUAUAUAAACAAUAUUUUAAAUAAUAAAAUAUGAUCAAUAAAAAUUUAAAUAUAUAUCACAACUUUUUUAUUUUAUAUAUAUUUCUUUUUUCAAAUAAUAAAUUUAAAUUUAUUAUGAUUAUCACAACUUUUGUGUCAAUAUAACUACAAUCAUAUAUUUUCACUUUUUAAAUUGAUUAUAAUUGUUUUUUAAAUGUUAAUUUAGUAAUAUGGUAAAAAAUAAAUGAUAUUUUUAUCAGUUUAAAUUUUUUUUAAAAAUUAUGUACUGUCUAUGUGAAGGCAUUGUACAAGGGAUCAUCAAAGUAUAAAGAUUUGUAUUAGGUAAAGUGAAAGUGAGUUGAUCAAGUCCUCCACUCAUUUUACUUUUAAAUUAAAAAAAUUUUAAACAAAUAAACUCUACUUUUGUUCUACCUACCUUUCUGUUUGUAUUCUCAUUCCAUUAAAUAAGAACUGCUUCCUUCAAUUGUUUUCCCAGCAAGAUUUCUGCACUCGCAUCUUGAAAUCCAAAUUCAAGAUUUUAAAGAAAUUUCUGAGCUCACUCACUAUUAUGGCUUGGUCUGCUGUGACAUCUGCAGUGAUAAAUAUUGGCAAGCUGCUAACUGAGGAAGCCAUAUACCUAUGGGGUGUGGAGGAGGAAGUUGAUCGUCUGCAAACAGAGCUCAAAUGGAUGCAAAGAUACUUAACGGACGCAGAGACAAAACAAUCAAAGGAAGAGAUGAUUCGUCUUUGGGUUGCUGAAAUCAGAGAGCUUGCUUAUGAUGCUGAGGAUGUUGUCGAGGAAUUUGCUCUCAAGAUUGGAUCCGAAAACAAAGGAUGUCUUCCGAGUUGUAUUAAAACAUCAGCCUGCUGUUUGAAAGAGGGAUGGGCACUCCACAAAACCAGGUCAAAAAUCGAGAAAAUCAUAGAAAGAAUCAACGACUUGGUCCGACGACUACAGGCCUACGGAGUAAAGGAAUUAAAGGACAGAGAAGAAGAAUCAAGUUCUUCAACUGAAAGACGAGAAUCAAGGCGGCCUUAUCCACAUAUUAUGGAUGAUAAUAUUGUUGGACUAGUUGAUGAUACCGAGGGAUUGGUCAAAGUUCUUACGAACGAAAGUCGAUGCCAGGUUGUUACAAUAUGGGGCAUGGGUGGUCUGGGAAAGACCACUCUCGCCAAGAAAAUAUAUCACGAUCCUCAGGUUAGAAAUUAUUUCGAGCACUUCGCUUUUGUAUACGUUUCUCAACCAUGCCAGAAAAGAAAAGUUUGGGAAGACAUUCUAUCUGGUUUCAAAACUUUAAAGGACGAGGAUAGGAAGAAAAGAGAUGAAGACUUAGCAGAGAAGUUGUGUAACAUUUUGGAGGUUAAAGAGUGUCUGGUGAUACUUGAUGAUGUUUGGACCAGAGAAGCUUGGGAUAGUCUAAAACCUGCCUUUCCAGUUGCAACGGGCCGUCAUCGCAAAAGCAAGAUAUUGCUCACCUCUAGAAACAGGGGGAUAGUUUCGGAUGCUGAGAUAAGAGGUAAAAUUUUCUUAAUUAGGUAAAAUUGAAUACUCUUAUUCCUUUUAUGGAAAAUAACUAUGUAUAUUAUUUCAGAGUUGAAGUGCCUAAACGAUCAACAAAGUUGGGAAUUGCUUCAAAAGAUUGUAUCUCCUAAAACAGGUAAAUAUACGUAUAGCAAAAUUCUUGUUAUAUGCUAAAUUUAUUUUUCAUUUUUAAAUUUUUUUGACAGUAAUUGAAAUUAAAAAUAUAUAAAAUCUAUUUUAUUUCAAAAUUUCAAAACCUUAAUAUCAAAUAAAUAAAAGAAAUCAAGCCUUUGUAGUUUAUCAAUUAAUGGUACACGCACCUAAAUAUAAUUAAUAGGUAAAUUCAUUAUCUUUAUUAUUAUAAUUUUUUAAUAACUUUGCUAUUAUUUACGGGGAAUAAAUUACAUUAGGAUUAUCUUAAAAGAUAUAGUUUUUAGGCACCAAUAAAAUAGUGUCACAUCGUUAAAUUUUUAAGAUAACAAAGAAUUAUUAUACACUCAUUUAUAUUUAAUAUUUUCUCCAAUUUAAUUUAACUUUAAUAAAAUUAUUUAAAAUAAUUAAUUUUUUAAAUUAUAAACAAACAUCUUUUCUUCUUUUACAAAUUUUAAUCAUUUUGUUUUUUCAUAAGUUAAUGUUUUUUAUUUUUGUGCAACCAAUUUUUUUUUAAAAAAACAGUAAUUUUUGUGCAAUGUUUUUCAUAUCAUUAACACAUAAUUUUGAUAAUUAUUUUAUCCUGAAGCCAAAACUCCGAACCUUGAACUCGAACCCUGAACCUAAAUCUUGAACCCUGAAUCUUGCAGUUAAAGGUUUGGUUUCUAGAUUUAAAGUUCAAAAUUCGAGGUUCAAGUUUAAAGUUUAAGGGUUCAGGGUUAUGGGUUACGAAUUUAGGAUUCAUGGUUUAAGGGUUUGGGGUAGCGAGUUUGGGGUUUUAUAUGUUUGUUUAGUUUCUUAAGCACUUUCAUGCUAUUCUUUUAUAUGUUUUUUUUUCUUAAGAAAUACAAAUUGAUUUUAUAAUUUAAAUUCAGGACUCAAACAUCACUUAAUUAAAAUAAUAAUUAAUCAAUUCUCGUUUUUUUUUUUGCCACAAAAACAUUCAUUCCAGAAAGAAUAACCAGACAUAGGAAGUCUAAAACACUAAACCAGAUAAACUAACAUGAAAAAAGCACAGUAUUCACUAAGCUUAUCCUGGAUCCUUGCAUCAGAAAGAUGGAGGCGCAGGUAAACCAUUCUUAUUAAGAGUAAAGCCAAGAAAGAUGGUAGUUGAUUCGAACAACCAACACAUCUCUUUACGACCCUAUUUAGCAAACCAAUCCGCUAACUUAUUGGCUUCUCGUCUAAUAACAUUGACUUUCAAAGAAGAAAGUUGCAUGACCAGCUUAUCAAAAACCUGAAGGACUAGCCUUAAUCUCCAUCUUCGAUCUUGACUCUUCUCAAUAUUCGAAAAAAUAGUCUGGGAGUCAGUCUUGAUUGUCACAUUGCUCCACUUGUUCUUCAUAGCUAAUUCAAUCCAUCCAACCAUAGCUUUAGCCUCGACAACCUGACAUGAAUCCACUUAAUCCUUUUACCAAUCCCAUCCAGCAUCUUCCCACUUAAAUUUCUGCCUAUUACUCUAAUACCAGCACAAGCUAUCAAGGUGUCAAAUGCCCCAUCACAAUUUAACUUUAACCCAACCUUCUGGUGGUUUCUCCCAAAUAUCAGCACAAGUUUUUGACUUCCUAGUUCGAUCAGAGUUAUUGUUUGAACAGAGGAUCCAUUGAGCAGAUAAGAAUUCAUUCAUGGAGCAAUUAAUCCUUCGAAUAAUUCUCUCCAAACCAAGUUUCACACCUCCAAUUGUAACCUCACACCUAGCUUUGCAGAUGUGCUAGCAAGUGAAAACAAUUCUAACUUUGAAAUCCUCCCUCAUACAAGGCAUUUGUAACAACUUUGAGAACCAUCUGUCAAAUGAUUGAGUUUGAUCAUUUAUCCCUUGAAGACCAAAACAAGCCUCAUACUAUAUUCCCCUAAGAAUAAUAUGUUCAAAGUCUCAUCUUUUCCACGGAUUAAAAUGAGAUGGAAUAGCAUUAUGACACAAUUUCCAUAAGAAAAUUUUAACUUUGUUCGGUACCUGUAAGCUCCAAAUAGCUUUCCAAGUGCUCCUAUCAAUUAAGUGAGAGCUGGAAGGUUGUAAAGAAGACUCAUUUCCAUAGUGCUUUCUCAACUCCUUGUACCCUGACUUCAUCGGAUAUUGACCAACAGCUGUAAACGGCCAUACCAAUUUAUCUUGUUCAUUUGUUUCGUGAAGGGGAACUUUUAAUUUCGCAAUUUCAAUAUCUUCUAACCACAUUGAGAUACUGGGUAAGUCCCAAUUUAGUUGUUCUAAACAAAUGAUCUCAGCAACUCGUGUUGGUGAGGAUCUGUCAAUAUUUCCAGGAUGCUUUAAUUCCCUAUCUUUAACUCCCAGCAAUCAUCUAUCUUCCCAAAUGCAGAUGCUUUCGCCAUUUUGCACUUGCCAAAUCAAAGUCUUCUUUUAAAAACUCUUUCCCUUCAAGAAUGCUACUCCACACCCAUGAUGACCUAGCUCCUUUUUUAGCUUCAAGGAAAUUAGAAUUCGGGAAAUAAAGUCCUUUUAAAAUCCUACCCCAAAGAGCAUCAGGAUCCUGGACUAACUGUCAAGAUUGUUUUGCAAGUAGAGCAAGGCCUCCAAGCUUUUCAAUGAAUACGUCUCUCAUUUUCCUUCUGCUGAAUUCAUUUCCACGCAUAAGUUUUUAGGAAGUUCGAAAAGAUAUCGUAUACAUUGAAGCGCAUGCUACUGCUUUAAUAAGAACCUCCCUUCCCCUUCAAGAUAACGUUUGCUGCUUCCAGCCCUAAAGUUUGGUAAGGACCUUUUUUUUUUUUGGUGAAAGUGAGGACCUUAUCUUUGAUAUGCCUCAAAGUUAAUGUUUUCGAAAGCUCCCACAAAGAAGGGACACCCAAGUAUCAACCUUUCGUUGACCCUUCGGGAGUAUUCACAGUAAAAACAUUGCUUGAUUUAUCGUACUUGACCCUUCGUCCAGAAGCUGCACAAUAUUCUUGAAAGUUCAUCAUUCUACUACAAUUUAACGAAUUAGCUUCCAAAAAGAAUAGAGAUCGUUCGCGAAUAAAAAAUGUGACACUAUUCGAUAAUGACUACCAAGGCUAAUCCCAGAAAUAAAACUAGACUCGACUCUAAGGAUAAGUUUGGAUUGGCAAUUGGGUGCGAUGCGGUGCGUUUAGCCUACUUUUUGUCUCAAGCUACAGUGUUGCUACAGUAUUUAAUCUCACCGCCACCUCUGUUUUUACACUAACCUCAGGUAAACGCACCGCCCAUCCUAACUCACCUUAAGGCUAAUUAUAUGAGAGAGGAUGUUCACAACAAAAAGGAAGAGGUAAGGUGAUAGAGGGUCACCUUCUAGAUGGAUAGAUUUUUCUAUUAGAUUUACCAUUAAUAAGCAAAGUGUAAGAAACAUUCCUCACACACUCCAUUAUCCAAUCAAUCCAUGUUAAAGCAAAUCUCAUUUUUCUUAAAAUAGUUUUCAGAAGUCCCCACUCUACUCUUUCAUGUCGAGCUUCCAAGCAACCUCAUAUUUCUUACCCCUCUUCUUCAAUUUCAAAUGAUGAAAACCUCUUGAGCAAUUAAGAUGUUAUCAUGUAUUUGUCUACCUACCACAAAAGCACUUUGAUUAUUCAUAAUCACUACCCUAGAACUCCUUUCAAUAUCUUCACCAUGAUCUUCGAUAUGAUUUUAUAGGCAAAAUUAUAAAAAUUAAUUAGUCUAAAUUAUGUAAUUAAUUGAAAACAUUUAGUCUUCAGAAUUAAAAUUAUCUUAAUCUCAUUUAAACCCAUCGAAAAUUUCCCUUCCCUAAAAAAAAAACUCUUAAUAGCUUCCAAAACAUCCUUUUUAAUAAUUUCUCAAUAAUUAUGAUAGAAAAUUCCGCUAAAAUCAUUCGCAAAAUAAGAGAUUAAUUUAAUUGUGUUGUAUGCUUAACUUGUACGAUAUAAGUAAAAUCUUAUAAUUUUAUCUCCAAAUUCUCUCAACACAAUUUUCUGACCCUUAUUUAUAAUCUCAUUUGUAUCUAACAGGAUCCAAUUUAAAGUUAAAUAGUCUUUUUUAUAUAAUGAAUUAUAUUUUUAUUCGAAUCUCCUCUUAAAUUAAUUAGAGUCUUACUUAGUAUUGACUGUUCCGUAAAGUAUUCAAAGUUUUCAAAUAGAUUCCUAUUUUUACAGUUCUUUCACGUACUUAAAUUAAUUCCUAAUUUUCCUUACUUUUUUAAAAAUAUUUAUUCCUAAUCUUUUAUACAGGAAAUAUAAUCGAUGUGAAAAUGAUAGAGUUGGGAAAGAACAUGGUUAAACAUUGUGCAGGGUUGCCAUUAGCCAUUGUUGUAUUGGGAGGAAUUUUGGCUACAAAGAAAAAUUCGUUAAUCGAAUGGCAAAAGAUAUCUGACAAUGUAAAAUCAUACUUGAAGAGAGGCAAAAAUCAAGGACCAGAGGAUGUGUUAGCAUUAAGUUAUGAUGAUUUGCCUCCCUAUCUAAGACCAUGUUUCCUCUAUCUAAGCCAUUUUCCGGAGGAUUAUAUGAUAGAUGUGGAUAGAUUGAUUCAAUUAUGGGUUGCUGAAGGUAUUGUGUCAUCAAAGGAAGAAGAAAGAGACGGCGGGGAAAUUGCGGAAGAUGUGGCGGAAUCUUAUUUAAUGGAGCUUGUGGAAAGGUGCAUGAUUCAAGUACGAGAAAGAAAUGUGGCAGCCUCAGAGAUCAGAGCGACCUUAAAGGUCAAAACGAUUCAGAUGCAUGAUCUGAUAAGAGAUCUUUGCUUAUCAAAGGCAAAACAAGAGAAAUUUGUCUUCAUUGUUGAUGGAUCGAAUGCAUCUUCAUUAUCUAUGAUUCGGAAGGUUCGUAGGGUUUCUGUGCAUGAGUCUUUUUUCAUACAAUGCAUUAAAAGUCCAAAUAUUCGGUCACUUUUGUUCUUCAAUCAGUUCUUUCCGGAGGAGGCAUUAGAAAAAUCUUUUCCCUUGGAAGUGUUGAACUACGUUAAAAAACAUUGUGACGAUUGUUGUAAUCCACUAUUUUGGAUUCUUCUGAUUUCGGUAGGUUCUACAAGACGUCUUAAAAUUCGGGAAUUUUGGAGAUACAUGUUCAACAACUUCAAAUUGCUGAGAGUCCUAAACUAUGACAAAGGAAGAACGUCAUAUGGUUUUUGGACCGGGUGGGAUUUACCCAGUGAUAUAGGGAAUCUCAUCCAUUUAAGAUUCUUGAGUCUAAAGGAUCUUGUGUUCUUAUGGCCAAAGUUGCAAUCAUCUCUAGGCAACUUAAGGUGCUUGCAAACCUUGGAUUUAAGAGUUAAUUUUCCCGAAAUUCAUGUACCUAAUGUGAUAUGGAGGAUGGAGCAACUAAGACAUUUAUAUCUCCCUUUCGACUGUGAAAGCAGUACUAAGUUGAACUUGGGUACUUUGAGAAAACUCCUAACACUUGUGAACUUCAACACCAAGAAUUGUUAUCUGAAGGAUCUUAUCAACAUGACAAAUCUUAGAGAGUUGGAGAUAAAUUUGCCCUUCAAUAUUGAAAAUUUCAAUGAGUCAGGCGAGAAUCCACCCAUAAUCGGUGGUAAAUAUCUUCAUUCCCUGUUUAUUAUUGCCAUUGGGGAAUCCGGCUCAGAAAUAGAUCCAAGACAUUUGGCCCACCUCCUUUCAAAUUGUACAAGUAUUUGCCAGUUGAGUAUAGCAGCAGAGAUAAGUAAGUUACCAGAGUAUCAAUACUUCUCUUCACAUCUCGCUUACAUACGGUUGAGUUGGUGCAAGUUUGAGGAAGAUCCAAUGCCAACACUAGAGAAGCUGCCUAACUUAAGGAUUCUUGAAUUCAAAUAUACUUUAGAAGGAAAGGAAAUGUUUUGCUCUGCUCAGGGUUUUCCUAAACUUGAGUCUCUAAUCCUUGAACAGCUCGGCAAAUUGGAGGAGUGGAAGGUGGAUGAAGGAGCCAUGCCUUCUCUUCAGCGAUUGGAGAUUAGGGAAUGCGGAAACUUGAAGAUGCUUCCAGAGGGAUUGAGGUUUAUUACAACCCUCAAAGAACUGAAGAUUGAAUCAAUGCCAAAGGCAUUCAAAGAUAGAUUGGAGGAAGGAGGAGAAGAUUUCUACGAAGUCAAACAUGUUCCUUCUAUCAUAUUCCAAAACAUCUUGCGCUAAGAAAUUGAAUGAUAAUUGAGAGGUAAUUUCAUAACCUCUAGUUUAGGAAAUGAUUCCUACUUUCUUUGCUGCUUAUAUAUCUUUCGUUUUUGACAAUGUCUCACCUUCUCACUCCAUUUGUCAUCACACCAAUGAAUAAUUACAUUUAUUAAAAGUCAAAGGAAGUCAGACAUUGAUCUUUUUAGUUUUGCUUUUCAGGUAAAGACGCCAUUUUUUCACCUGCACUGCUAUUCACGGGAUCAAAUCUAGAUUUAAAACUCCUAUUAUAAGUGGCGUGUGAAAGUGUGUUAUAUGGUGAGAUUUGGAAUUAUCUUCUCUCUUGUAUAUAUCUAUGGUUGAUGACAUCAGACUGGUUGACUGUUUGUUGUUUUCUUCAAAUUACAAUAAAACGGUUGCAAGAUAAGGUAUGGGAAGAAUGGGAGGUGUCUGGUUUAGCAAGGUACCAAACCCCUCCGCCAUUUCAAUUUCCUUCAAUCUAAGUUAAUUACACAUUCAUUUUUGUCUUUUAAAACGUAAAAUUGCAGAUAAGGAGACGUCAUUGACCUUUGUUCCGACAUAGCUUUGGUUUGCGGUGACUGUUCCUAUAUUUAUUUGUUGGCUUUGCUUUCUCUUUCCUUUUUCUUUUCCCUACUUAAGGCUGCUUUAGUCUUUCUCUUUUAUUUUUUUAUAUGUACUUAAUGUAAUAUUAGAAGCCAAGGCAGGACCAUGCUUUUCUAUUGUAAAAUUCUUCACUUCGUUGUCUAUGUUCAUUUCUACUCUUCAGUUUACUUUAUAUAAUUGUUUGAUAUAUAUUUGAAUAUGGAGAAUAUAAUCUUUUUAAUAUAUACAUAUUUUAGAAAAAAUUGAAUAUAAGUAUGUUGGACACAUUUCCUAUUUCAACAUAUUUCCUUAUUUUAUGCAAGUCGAUUGGUAUUCAACAUAAUCUUUUCUGUCAUCCUUAACUCAAUAAUCUUUGUUACGAUAUCAUAUCAAGUUUAAUGGUUGCACUUCAUCCCCACACUUCCAAAGCAAAAAGUAGGAAAAAUUAAAUCUUACCAAGUAAUAACACUUCCCAAAUACAUUGUCUUACAAAAAAAAAAAAAAAAGAAAGAAGAUACAAUUUGAAAAUUUUUUUUAAUCAACAUUUGAUGGUUUAGCAAGCUAUGCUUUAUAAUAGGCAAAGGAUUCCAAGAGAAUCAAAGAUUCCAAAAUCGAUAUUUGGAUUCAAGAUUUUGUAUCCCCUUUCUUUGCUUCUUAUAUCUACCAACAAUAUCUUGAUGAUAAUAAACUUAAAAAAAAUAUUCAAGGGAAUUGAAGAUCCUAAAUCUAACUUAAACGGUUGAAAAUUUCACAUCCACUUAAUUAAUUCAAAUGAUAUUUAUUCAAUAAGCUUAAAGUAAAAACUGCAAGAAUCUUCAUUUGUCUUUUAUUCGAAAUGUAAUUGGGAUUCAAUGAAAAUAUUGAACAUAUAAUGUGUGCACAUGGAAAUGUCCAAAUCUUUAAAUAUAGGGUCCACAUGCGAGAAAUCUCUUAACACCCAACGUUAAAGAUUUAUAAAAUUCAAUAUGAGCCUAUUAUUUUCGUUAUAAAACUCAAUAUCUUAUUUGGAUUAGGAUACGAGCGAAUAACAGCUAACUAUUUGUAGUUCAAGGUGUGAUAAAAUCUCAGUAGCUAAGAUAUGAAUGUUGCAAAAUACCAUACAAAAUCACAGCCACAUUUGUUAGUAUGACUAUUUUGGGUAAUCAAAGGAAAAAAAUGUUAGCUGUUGAGCAAACAAGGUGAACAAAUUAGAUAUUCCAAUUACGUUCAAGCACUUGACAAAUCCUUUCUGCAAUGGCUUCAGCACGCAUCCUUAAUUUAAUUUCUUAUCAUACGUUUUUGCAUGUAUCAUAAGAAAUUAAAUUAAGGAUUUUCUACUGCAAACCUACCAUGAAAACAUAAUUUUUAUUAGGAUCAAAGGCAUAGCCCAUCAUGGCAGCAUUAUUGAGUCCAUUUUCAGAGGAAAAUCCUGAAACAUGUUACAGGCAAAUAUUAAGAAAAACAACGCACAAGCAUAAGUAUAAAAAACCUAGCAUGUAAGAAAUCAAUACUUGAAAGGAUUAAAAUCACUGCUAACCUAAGACAUUGAAUCUAGCACCACUAGGAAACAUCCGAAAUGAUACUUGUCUUUCAAUGUUGAGAUACAUAGGUCCAAGUCUGCCAUGUUGCGCCAAACGGGAAUUCAUCAACCUCUUGAGAACCUAAAGGAUGAAAAGUUCCAGUCCAAGUUAUAUAUAUACAGACACACACACAGAUAGACAUGAAGAAAGUGGGUUACUGGUGUAUUAUUUAAGUAAAGAAAAAGUUGAAAUCUUGAACCUCUAAAUAUUGGGUAACAGCUAGUGUUAAAAGUGCAUAAAGUUCUGCUAUUAUCUACAAGAAACAAAGGAGGAAUCACAUACAUUGUUUAUAUUCACUUUUCUUGCUACACAAGCAAGCUGACUCCAUAUACAAAAGCAUAUCUUUUUCUCCGUUUUUAAAUGGUUUUUUUGUUUUUCGGCUGCUUUUUAUAUUAAGAGACAGAGAUUGUGAGACCUCGUCAUCCUCAAGGAGUAAAUGGUCAAGCAUGGAGAUGAUGGGAAGACCAUGAGUCGAUGGUGGUCGAUCCAUGAGUUGAUUAUGAAUAGUUUCAUGUUAUGAAAUAAAAAUGUUAGCUAAAGUUAGUUGAACGCUGUGUUUUAGGGCCGAGGGUUUAAUGAAACUAUAAGUUUUGAUGUUGAAUGAAAACGGUGCGUAUUGAUGGUUUGCUACAACUGCUCGAGGAACAGCCCUAUAACAGACUUUGUAACUGCCAANNNNNNNNNNNNNNNNNNNNNNNNNNNNNNNNNNNNNNNNNNNNNNNNNNNNNNNNNNNNNNNNNNNNNNNNNNNNNNNNNNNNNNNNNNNNNNNNNNNNNNNNNNNNNNNNNNNNNNNNNNNNNNNNNNNNNNNNNNNNNNNNNNNNNNNNNNNNNNNNNNNNNNNNNNNNNNNNNNNNNNNNNNNNNNNNNNNNNNNNNNNNNNNNNNNNNNNNNNNNNNNNNNNNNNNNNNNNNNNNNNNNNNNNNNNNNNNNNNNNNNNNNNNNNNNNNNNNNNNNNNNNNNNNNNNNNNNNNNNNNNNNNNNNNNNNNNNNNNNNNNNNNNNNNNNNNNNNNNNNNNNNNNNNNNNNNNNNNNNNNNNNNNNNNNNNNNNNNNNNNNNNNNNNNNNNNNNNNNNNNNNNNNNNNNNNNNNNNNNNNNNNNNNNNNNNNNNNNNNNNNNNNNNNNNNNNNNNNNNNNNNNNNNNNNNNNNNNNNNNNNNNNNNNNNNNNNNNNNNNNNNNNNNNNNNNNNNNNNNNNNNNNNNNNNNNNNNNNNNNNNNNNNNNNNNNNNNNNNNNNNNNNNNNNNNNNNNNNNNNNNNNNNNNNNNNNNNNNNNNNNNNNNNNNNNNNNNNNNNNNNNNNNNNNNNNNNNNNNNNNNNNNNNNNNNNNNNNNNNNNNNNNNNNNNNNNNNNNNNNNNNNNNNNNNNNNNNNNNNNNNNNNNNNNNNNNNNNNNNNNNNNNNNNNNNNNNNNNNNNNNNNNNNNNNNNNNNNNNNNNNNNNNNNNNNNNNNNNNNNNNNNNNNNNNNNNNNNNNNNNNNNNNNNNNNNNNNNNNNNNNNNNNNNNNNNNNNNNNNNNNNNNNNNNNNNNNNNNNNNUUUCGGAACAAAACCAUGCCGUACCAUUUGUUUCAAAGCCCAAUCAACUUCCUUUACCAUCUUCCCCUUACAAAAACCAUGAAUCAACUUCUUGUAUGAAUCAAAACUAGGAUUAACCCUCUCGAAAGCCACAUUUGUUAGUAUGACUAUUUUGGGUAACCAAAGGAAAAAAAAAUGUUAGCUGUUGAGCAAACAAGGUGAACAAAUUAGAUAUUCCAAUUACGUUCAAGCACUUGACAAAUCCUUUCUGCAAUGGCUUCAGCACACAUCCUAGGACCUUCAUCAUCUGCAAAAACCGACCAUUUCUAACAACUAAGCUAACAUCACACAUGAUAAUAUAUGUAUAUAACAUAUAUAGAAGAUGAGUAUGUGGAUUAAAAGCUAUGUUAGUUUGACUCAAUACAUGACCAUGGGACAUGCACGAUUCUUCAAUAAUGAUACGAAAAUAAUUGGAAGAAAAAUUAAAUACAUCAAUAUCUAACAUUUACAUCUGAGUAUGUUUAAUGGUACUCUUUCUUUAGCCAAAUUUUGGCUUCUUUUAGUAGCUAUUCUGACCCAUUUUUCUUUGACCAAAAUGCCCUUGAACAUGUCUUUUUAUUGGGGUUUUAGUUGGACAAGGACUACCCCUGAUGUCAUUUUUGGUCCCCUCACGACAAUAUUGCAAUAACCAACACAGGGUAUCGUGAUAUCGUGGACUGUCUCAAAUGAGGGUCUUCUUUGGUAGCUGGGUAUCACAAUACCUAAGGGGGAUAUCAUGAUACCACUAUAGGUGGUCUUCAUUUCAAGCUUGUGGGAGGUAUCGCUAUGUCCAUGUUGUGAUGUCGUGAUACCCCUUUCCUUAUGUUUUUGCACAAUUUCGGGUCACCGUCAAGUUCCUACAACACUUAAUUGAUCGUUAGGGUCCAAAUGGCACAUUUAUCAAUUUGAGUCUCAAAAUGAGCACAAAACACAUUAAACAUUUAUUAAAUCAAAAAUAAAAAUCUACGCUAAACUACGGAAAAACACUAAUUUGCUUGAAAACAAGCUCUUUAAGUAUAAUGAGGAACCCUAAAUUGACAUAUCAAAUUAUUGUAACUUAGUUGUCUUUUUGAUUCGAACCCACAACCUGAGUUGUUGAGUUGAUCACCCAAUGUCACUAGGCGAAGAGUUUGGGUUCUAUGUACUAACUUGAAGUUGAGGCAUAUUAUAAAGAAGAUUUCAAUUUGACAUGUUUAAUUUUUUUAAUUUAACUCGAAUAAAUUUAUUUAACUCGACUUAAAUUUUAUUUUACUCAACUUGAUUAAAAAAAUUUCAAAUCAAGUUAAGAUGAUAAAAUAGGAUUCAUGAACUUGAUGUAGUCGAAAUUUUUUUUACUAGAUUCGAUCAAACGCUCAACCUGUUAGGUGAGAUGAUGUUUAGGGAUUUGAUUUGUAAAAUCAUUUUUUUCUCAAUCAUUCCUCAUAAUAUAGAAAAUAAUAAGUUAAGUUAUGCCAUUAGUCCUUGUACUUUACAAAAAGUUGUGGAUAUAAUCUAUAUACUUUAGUUUGGUCAUUUUUAAUAAAUGUACUUUUCAAAUUUGAAAAUUUCAAUCCUCACCAAACGAUAACUGUUAAAUUCAUUAAGUUAAGCUUUGUUAUUUUCAAAAUAUUACAUGACAAACAAAUUAUUAUAUGUGUAAUGCCAUGUCAACUUGUUAUUUUGACAUAUUACUCACCAAAAUUUCACUUAAUGGAUUAACGACUUUCAUUCAUGUGGAGACUAAAAUUUCAAAAUUCAAAAGUAGAGGGACUUAAAAUGAUCUAAUUGGAGAAAAUAGACUAAAUCUAUAACUAUACUCAUAGUAUAAGACUAGUAAUUGAAUUUAUCCAAAUAAAUUUAAUUGCUACAGUUUGGGUUAAAACUAAAAUUUCAAAAUUAAAAAAAAAUACAGAAAUUGAAGUUGACAAAUUCAAAAAAAUAUACAUAUUAAAAUUGAUCAAAUUAAAAGUAAACUGACUAACCUUAAUUUUUCUGAUAAUCUUUCUUUUCCCUUAAUUAAAUGACCAUGAUGUAUACUAUAUAUCUUAGUAUAUAAAUAUUUUAAAAAUAAAUAAAUAUAUGUAUGUUGGACACAUAUUCAAGUUUGAUAUUCGUCUUAAAUAUAUGUAUGUUGGACACGUAAUCUUUUUCAUUGUUUAAUAUCCUAAUCCUUAAUUAAUUUAAUAAUAUUUGUUACGAUAGGGUCUAAUGGCUGCAAUUUAUCUUGACACUUUCGAAGCAAAAAAUAAAAAAUAAAAAAAUCAAAUUUCACCGAUUAAUUACAUGCCAACACAUAUAACCCACGAUAUGUUUAUCUCAAAGAUUUAAAUAAGAUAAACUAAAUCACAAAGAAAACAAACGAGUAAACAUAAUCUAGAAAUUCCAAAUUUACAUUAUCUAACAGAAAUUCAAUAAGAAAUAAAAGGUUGCAUUUCAUUCUUUAGGGAUUUGCUCUUAUAUCUUCCAACAAUAGCUUGAUGAUAAUAAGCUGAAAAAGAAAAGGAGUCCAAGGGAAUUGAAGAUUCUUAAUUCAGCUAGCUUAAUUGAUUGAAUACUUCAAAUACACUUAAUUAAUACCAAUGAUAUUUAUCAAUAAAUCUAAAAUUUGCAUCCUACUUUGUAAAAACUGCCAGAAUGAAAUCAAAUUAUCUGAUUUCAAUUCUCUUCAAAUUUUAGUUUACAACUUCUAUUUUUGGGUUUCCAUUUGUUUCAACUUUUAAAGCAAGCAUUGAUUCAAGAAAUAUUUAUUUCAUUUGACUUAUUUGCUUUUCUAAUUUUAUGUUAUUCAGAUUCGAUGAAAAUAUUGAACAUAAUAUGUGUGCAAGUCAAGAUGUCCGAGUCUUACAAUGUAAGGUUGAAACGGGAGAAAUAUCCUAAAAGCUGAUGCUAAAAGAUUUAUAAAAUUCAGUAUAAUCAUUUUGUUUUCAUUAUAAAACUCAAUGUUAAAAUGUCUAUGAUUCGAGAUUAUGAUACAAGAGAAAAAUAGCUAACUAUUUUAAGUUCAAGGUGUGAGAAAAUCUCAAUAGCUAAGAUAUGAAUGUUGUAAAAUACCACUCAAUCACACAGAAAUAUAUACACACAGAAAUACCACUCAAUCACAGCCACAUUUGUUAGUAUGACUACUUUGGAUGAAAAGUUCUAUUCCAAGUUAUAUAUACACACAGAAAUACACAUGAAGUGGAUUAAUGGUGUAUUAUUUAAGUAAAGAAAAAGGGUUCUAACUAGAAGAAAGAGUUGAAAUCUUGAACCUCUAACUAUUGGGUAACCGCUGGUGUUAAAAAGUACAUAAAGGUCCGCGCUUAUCUACAAAAAAACAAUGGAGGAAUCACGUUCAUUGUUUAUAUUCAUUUUUUUUGCUCCACAAGCAAUCCAAAACCAUAAACAAAGGAAUACUUUUUUUCGCCUUUUUAAAUGGUUUUCUUGUUUCUUUUUCGCUUUUUAAAUUCUUCAUUCAAUUCAAGUUCAAGAAACCAUACUAAAUAUAUAUAUUUAUAUUUAUAUUCACUUUUCUUGCUACACAAGCAAGCCAAAAUCAUAAACAAAGGCACGCUUUUUUUUUCCCUUUUUUUAAUGAUUUUCUUGAUUCUUUGUUGUUUUUAAAAUUCUUCAUUCAAUUCAAGUUCAAUAAACCAUAUUAAAUAUAUAUAUUUAUAUUCACUUUUUUUUGCUACACAAGCAAGCUGAAACCAUAAACAAAGGCAUACAUUUUUCUCCUUUUUUAAAUGGCUUUCUUGUUUCUUUGUUGUUGUUUUUAAUUCUUUGCUCAAUUCAAGUUCAAGAAUCCAUACUAAAUAUAUGUGUUUAUAUUCACUUUUCUUGCUACAUAAGUAAGCUGAAACCAUAAACAAAGGCAUACUUGUUUUCCUUUCUUACCGUUGCUACCUUUUAGAUUCUUUAUUCAAUUCAAGUUCAAGAAAUCAUACUAUAUAUAUAUAUUCACUUUUCUUGCUACACAAGUCAACCGAAACCAUAAACAAAGGCAUAACUUUUUCGCUUUUUUUUAAAAUGAAUUUUUCUUUGCUGCUUUUUAAAAUUUUUAUUCAAUUUAAAUUCAAAAAACCCUACUAAAUAUAUAUAUAUAUAUAUAUAUAUAUAUAUAUAUUAAGAGAGAGACCUCAUCAUCCUCAAGCUUGAUGGGAAGGCCACAAGUCGGUGGUCGUCAAAUCAUGAGUUGAUUAUGAGUAGUUUCAUGUUAUGGAAAAAAGAUGUUAGUUAAAAUUAGUUAGUUGAGAGUUUAAUGAAACGAUACGUUUUGAUGUUUAAUGAAAACGGUGCGUAUUGAAAGUUUGAUACAACUAGUCGAGUAACAAGCCUUUAACAAACUUUGUAACUACCAAUUCUGAAGCCUUACAGGAACUGCCAACUUUUGAUUUUGUUUGUAAUCCUCGCUUUAAAAAAAUAUUCCAAAUAUGCUUCCUCACCUUAUCAUUUUUGUUAUUUUUCAAGUGCCCUUACCAUUCUAUAUUUUCAAUGGUUAAAUUGUAAAAAUGGUUACCUAAUUAUUGCUUUCGUUCUAUUUUAAUCACUAAAUCGAUUUAGUUAUUAAAAUUUUCGAAAUUAAAUAUUUUAAUCACUCUCAGUUAUCUUUAGAUGAGUGAUAGGAAGUUAAUGUGAGCUGUUUUUAUUGGUCUAAUAACAAAUUUAAUCAUCUAAUGUUUACACAUUCUAUUAAUUUAAUUUUAAAUAUAAAAUGUUCAACAGAUUUAACCCUAAAUAUUUACAAAAUCUAUUGUUAUAGUUCGAAUCCUAAAAAUUUCAAUAAGUUUAGUCCUCAAAAUUUGUAAAUUUAAUUUUAAUUCCAAAAAUUUUAGAAAAAGGAAAGAUGUAUUUUAUGUUAUAUAAAAGAAAAUCUAGCUCCAUCCAACAUUUUAAAUUCUUUUCUUUUUUCUUCACAUUUUCAUGGCAACGAAAAAACCAACUCAUGGAUGAAUUAAGCAAAUUAAUUAAAAUCAAAUAAAUCGAACAAGGAUUUUAAUUAAAAAGAAAUUCUUCACAUGCAUCAAGGAGGGACUUCCUCUGGUGGUAUCAAGGGGAUUGAUAGAAACAGCUCAGGCUCGAACAAGAACUUCAUUGGGCUUAAGAUCAGGAACAGACACAUCGGACCAAAGCUGCAACACCUCAGGUCCUCCGAACCGAGGCAGCAAUACCGCACUGUAACUGUUGACAUAGCACCGAAUUGAACCCACUUUCAACGAUAACUCCAUAAAGGGUUUAGGUUUUAAGCUUUGAAGUUCCCUUUUUUCUACUCAAAUUUACUGAAUUUCAGCUCCUUCCUUUUGUUAAAUGAAGGAAAAGCAGAGGAGAGACACGGAAGUGUUUUAAUCCACAUAGAAAAAAGUGAUUGUGUGACUUGUGAGUGGGGGCCUAUGGGGCGUGGAAGAAGAAGAUGAACAUUGCAUAAUCAAUUUUUAAUUGCUUAUUACAUUCAUAAUUUAAUAAAUAAAAAUUUCUAACCUUAUCUAUUAAAUCAAGUUAGAAUGUUCAACUUAAUUUUUGUUUGUUAUAAGUAUCACAUAUUAUAAAAAUUAAUUAUAUUUUAAUAAUUAUAUAAUAUUGAUUGAGUUAUUAUUUUUAAUUAUAUCAUCUGAUACCAUCUUGAGGACUAAAUUUAGAAUUAGAACUAAAUUGACAAAUUUCUGAAAUUUUGAGAUUAAAUUUAUUUUUAUUUUUAAGAAUUUGAACUAAAAUGAGAAAUUUUGUAAAUAUUGAGGAUUAAAUUUGUUGGAAAUUUUAUAUUUAGAAUCAAAUGGAUAGAAUGUCUAAACAUUAGGGGCCUAAAUUUGUUAUUAGACCAAUAAAAACAAGUUUAUACCAAUUUCCUGUAGCUCAUUAAUUGCAACUAACGAGGAAAUGAUUAAAAUAUUUAAUUUCUAAAAAUUUAAUGACUAAAUAAAAAAAUUAAUAUUUAAGUGAUCAAAAUAGAAUGAAAUCAAUAAUUUGAUGACCAUUUUUGUACUGUACCCUAUCUUAAUCCAUCUCACAACCAAAUUUCUCCGUCUUUGCCUAAUUUCUCGUCAUUGUCAAAUUUUAAUAGAAUUAACAUUUUUAUUUAAAAAAUAUCUUUAAUCAUUUAAUAUAUUUUUAAUAACUAAAUGUUAAUUCCAUUAAGAGUCAGUUUAUUUACAUGUAAAAAGUUAUAUAAUAUGAGUCUAUUGAACCGAUUCAAUCAUAAAUUUUAUUAUUAUUGGUUUAUAUAAUGGUUUGAUUUUGAAAAUAUUUGGUUUAACAUUUAGUCAUCCCUUUGAUCAAUUUUAAAUUUUAGAAAUAAUUUUGUUUUUUGUUUACAUUUAAAUGUACAGUUUCUAAUGCAUAUGUGUUACAUUUGAUUUCAAGCCAUUAAUCCUUAAUUACUUUUUAAAAUAAUAGUUCUCUUAGUUUUUAAAUAAUGUAUAAAUUUAUAAUUAUAUAAGAAAGUAAACUAUAAUAUUAAUUUUUAAAAAAUUAAGUAAAACAGAAGGCAAUAAUUUUUAUAAUAAUUAAUGAUAAAUAUGAAAAAUAUUCACAAUUAUAAAACAAACCGUUUAAGAGUAUAUAAACUACUUAUACAAAAUUUUUUUAAAUUAAAGAUGAAAAUAUAUAUAUAUAUAAAUAUACAUAAUUUAUAAGUGAAAAAUAUACAUAAUUUUAUUCAUAAAAAAUACAUAUGAUAAUAUACAGACAAGGUUAUAAAGUAAUUCAUAGGAAUAUAGCUUUCUUGUUUGUAUUCUCAUUCGGUUAUGAAUAUAGCUUUCUUGUUAGUAUUCUCAUUCUAUUUUGAACAUACCUUUCUUGCUUGUUUUCUCAUUCUAUUAUGAAUAUACCUUUCUUGUUCGUAUUCUCGUUCUAUUGAUGAUUAAUGUUGCUUUAUAAUUGUUUAUAAAUUUAAUAGAACUAUAUAUUACUACUAAAAGUAUAAAAGGGCAAUGAUUUGCAAUUGCUUUUAUAAUUAAGUACUGCUUCUUGCAAUUGUUUUCCCAGCAAGAUUGAAAUCCAAAUUCAAGAUUUUAAAGAAUUUUCUGAGCUCGAUCACUAUUAUGGCUUUGUCUGCUGUGACAUCUGCAGUGACAACAAUCGGCAACCUGCUAACUGAGGAAGCCAUAUUCCUAUGGGGCGUCGAGGAGCAAGUUGAUCGUCUGCAAACAGAGCUCAAAUGGAUGCAAAGAUACUUAAUGGACGCAGAGACAAAACAAUCAAAGGAUGAGAUGAUUCGUCUUUGGGUUGCUGACAUCAGAGAGCUUGCUUAUGAUGCCGAGGAUGUUGUCGAGGAAUUUGCUCUCAAGAUUGGACCCAAAAACAAAGGAGGUCUUGCGAGUUGUAUUAAAAGAUCAGCCUGCUGUUUGAAAGAGGGAUGGGUGCUCCAUGAAACCAGGUCAAAGAUUGAGAAAAUCAUAGAAAGAAUCAACGACUUGGUCCGACGACUACAGGCCUACGGCGUAAAGGAAUUAAAGGACAGAGGAGAAGAAUCAAGUUCUUCAACUGAAAGACGAGAAUCAAGGCGGCCUUAUCCACAUAUUAUGGAUGAUAAUAUUGUAGGACUAGUUGAUGAUACCGAGGGAUUGGUCAAAGUUCUGACGAACGAAAGUGGAUGCAAGGUUGUUACAAUAUGGGGCAUGGGUGGUCUGGGAAAGACCACACUCGCCAAGAAAAUAUAUCACCAUCCUCAGGUUAGAGAUUAUUUCGAAAACUUCGCUUUUGUAUAUGUUUCUCAACCAUGCCAGAAAAUAAAUGUUUGGGAAGACAUUCUAUCUGGUUUCAAAACUUCAAAUGUCAAGGAUAGGAAGAAAAGAGAUGAAGAAUUAGCAGAGGAUAGGAAGAAAAGAGAUCAAGAAUUAGCAGAGAAGUUGUGUAAAACUUUGGAGGAUAAAAAGUGUCUGGUGAUACUUGAUGAUGUUUGGACCAGUGAAGCUUGGGAUAGUCUAAAACCUGCCUUUCCAGUUGCAACGGGCCGUGAUAGCAAUAGCAAGAUAUUGCUCACCUCUAGAAACAAGGGGAUAGUUUCAGACGCUGAGAUAAGAGGUAAAAUUUUCUUAAUUAGGUAAAAUUGAAUACACUUAUUCCUUUUAUGGAAAAUAACUAUGUAUCUUAUUUCAGAGUUGAAGUGCCUAAACGAUGAAGAAAGUUGGGAAUUGUUUCAAAAGAUUGUAUUUCCUCAAACAGGUAAAUAUACGUAUAGCAAAAUUCUUGUUAUAUGCUAAAUUAUUAAAAAUAUAUAAAAUCUAUUUUAUUUCAAAAUUUCAAAACCUUAAUAUGAAAUAAAUAAAAGAAAUCAAGGCUUUGUAGUUUAUCAAUUAAUGGUACACGCACGUAAAUAUAAUUAAUAGGUAAAUUCAUUAUCUUUUAUAUUAUAAUUUUUUAAUAACUUCACUAUUGCUUACCGGGAAUAAAUUAUAUUAGAAUCAUCUUAAAAAAUAUAGUUUUUAGGCACUAAUAAAAUAGUGUUACAUUAUUAAAUUUUUAAGAUAAUUAAGAAUUAUUAUACACUCAUUUAUAUUUAAUAUUUUCUCUAACUUAAUUUAACUUUAAUUAAAUUAUUUAAAAUAAUAAAUUUUUAAAUUAUAAACAAUCAUCUUUUCUUCUUUUACAAAUUUUAAUCAUUUUAUUUUUUUCAUAAGUUAAUAUUUUUUUAUUUUUGAGCAACCAAUUUUUUUUUAAAUAAUUUUUGUGCAAUAUUUUUCAUGUCAUUGACACAUAAUUUUGAUAAUUAUUUUAUCUUGAACUCAAAACGCCAAACAUUGAACUCGAACCCUGAACCUAAACCUUGAACCCCGAAUCUCACAGUUCAAGGUUUGGAUUCGAGAUUUAAAGUUUAGAACUUGAGGUUCAAGUUUGAAGUUCAAGGGUUUAGGGUUAUGGGUUACAAGUUUAGAAUUCAUGGUUCAAGAGUUUGGGGUUAUGAGUUUGGGGAUUUAUGUUUUGGAUUUAGGAUUUAGGAUUCUAGAUUCAGGGUAAAAAAAUUACCAAAAUUAUGUGUCAAUGACAUGGAAAAAAUUGUUGAAAUGAAAAAAUUGUUGAAAUGUUAUUACAUAAUUGGAAAGGGACUAUGAAUAAUGUGGUCAGAAGGAUCCAUAAAAUAAUUUCUCCAUGAAUGAGUGUAUAAUAAUAAUUCAUUUCUUUAAAAUUUGAUGAUGUGACAAAAAAACUUUAAUUUUUAGGAUCAUCCUAAUGUUACCUUAAUUAUUGGAUUAUAUGCUUGUUUAGUUUCUUAAGCACUUUCAUGUUAUUCUUUUAUAUGUUUAUCCUGGACCCUUGCAUCAGAAAGAUGGAGGCGCAGGUGAACCAUUCUUAUCAAGAGUAAAGCCCAAGAAAGAUGGUAGUUGAUUCGAACAACCAGCACAUCUCUUUACGACCUAUUUAGCAAACCAAUCCGCUAACCUAUUGGCUUCUCGUCUAAUAACAUUGACUUUCAAAGAAGAAAGUUGCAUGACCAGCUUAUCAAAAACCUGAAGGACUAGCCUUAAUCUCCAUCUUCGAUCUUGACUCUUCUUUUUAAUAUUCGAAGCAAUAGUCUGGGAGUCAGUCUUGAUUGUUACAUUGGUCCAUUUGUUCUUCAUAGCUAAUUCAAUCCAUCCAACCAUAGCUUUAGCCUCGACAACCUCACAUGAAUCCACUUAAUCCUUUUACCAAUCCCAUCCAGCAUCUUCCCACUUAAAUUUUUGCCUAUUACUCUAAUACCAGCACAAGCUAUUCAGGUGUCAAAUGCCCGAUCACAAUUUAACUUUAACCCAACCUUCUGGUGGUUUCUCCCAAAUAUCAGCACAAGUUUUUGACUUCCUAGUUCGAUCAGAGUUAUUGUUUGAACAGAGGAUCCAUUGAGUAGAUAAGAAUUCAUUCAUGGAGCAAUUAAUCCUUCGAAUAAUUCUCUCCAAACCAAGUUUCACACCUCCAAUUGUAACCUCACAGCUAGCUUUCCAGAUGUGCUAGCAAGUGAAAACAAUUCUAACUUUGAAAUCCUCCCUCAUACAAGGCAUUUGUAACAACUUUGAGAACCAUCUGUCCAAUGAUUGAGAAUCAUUUUGCCCUUGAAGACCAAAACAAGCCUCAUACUAUAUUUCCCUAACCCAAUUACAACUAAGAAUAAUAUGUUCAAAGUCUCAUCUUCAAUACCACAUAAACAACAAAUUGGGUUCGAAACACACUUUCUUUUCCAUGGAUUAAAACGAGAUGGAAUAGCAUUAUGACACAAUUUCUAUAAGAAAAUUUUAACUUUGCUCGUUACCUGUAAGCUCCAAAUAGCUUUCCAAGUGCUCUUAUCAAUUAAGUGAGAGCUGGAAGGUCGUAAAGAAGACUCAUUUCCAUAGUGCUUUCUCAACUCCUUGUACCCUGACUUCAUCGGAUAUUGACCAACAGCUGUAAACGGCCACACCAAUUUAUCUUGCUCAUCUGUUUCGUGAAGGGGAACUUUUAAUUUCGCAAUUUCAAUAUCUUCUAACCACAUUGAGAUACUGGGUAAGUCCCAAUUUAGUUCUUCUAAACAAAUGAUCUCAUCAACUCUUGUUGGUGAGGAUCCGUCAAUAUUUCCAGGAUGCUUUAAUUUCCUAUCUUUAACUCCCAGCAGCUGUUUAUCUUCCCAAAUCCGGAUGAUUUCGCCAUUUAGAACUUGCCAAAUCAAAGUCUGCUUUUAAAAACUCUUUCCCUUCAAGAAUGCUACUCCACACCCAUGAUGACCUAGCUCCCUUUUUAGCUUCAAGGAAAUUAGAUUUCGGGAAAUAAAGUCCUUUUAAAAUCCUAGCCCAGAGAGCAUCAGCAUCCUGGACUAACUGUCAAGAUUGUUUUGCAAGUAGAGCAAGUCCUCCAAGCUUUUCAAUGAAUACGUCUCUCAUUUUCCUUCUGCUGAAUUCAUUUCCACGCAUAAUUUUUUAGGAAAUUCGAAAAGAUAUCGUAUACAUUGAAGCGCAUGCUACUGCUUUAAUAAGAACCUCCCUUCCCCUUCAAGAUCACGUUUGCUGCUUCCAGCCCUUAAGUUUGGUAAGGACCAUUUUUUUUUUUGAUAUGCCUCAAAGUUAAUGUUUUCGAAAGCUCCCACAAAGAAGGGACACCCAAGUAGACGCCCGAAUUGUUAGCCCCCUCUAUAUUAGUCUCGUCUUGAAUCAACCUUUCGUUGAGGAGUAUUCACACUAAAAAGGUUGCUUGAUUUAUCAUACUUGACCCUUCGUCCAGAAGCUGCACAGUAUUCUUGAAAGUUAAUCAUUCUCCUACAAUUUAACGAAUUAGCUUUCAAAAAGAACAGAGAUCGUUCUCGAAUAACAAAUGUGACACUAUUGGAUAAUGACUACCAAGGCUAAUCCUAGAAAUAAAACUAGACUCGAGUCUAAGGCUAAUCGUACGAGGGAGAACAUUCACAACAAAAAGGAAGAGGGUAAGGUGAUAGAGGGUCACCUUACCUUAGACCUCUAGAUGGAUAGAUUUUUCUACUAGACUUACCAUUAAUAAGCAAAGUGUAAGAAACACUCCUCACACACUCCAUUAUCCAAUCAAUCCAUGUUAAAGCAAAUCUCAUUUUUCUUAAAAUAGUUUCUAGAAAUCUCCACUCUACUCUGUCAUAUACUUUAUUCAUGUCGAGCUUCCAAGCAACCUCAUAUUUCUUACCCCUCUUCUUCAAUUUCAAUGAUGAAAACCUCUUGAGCAAUUAAGAAGUUAUCAUGUAUUUGUCUACCUACCACAAAAGCACUUUGAUUAUUCAUAAUCACUACCCUAGAACUCCUUUCAAUAUAUUCACCAUGAUCUUCGAUAUGAUUUUUUAGGCAAAAUUAUAAAGAUUAAUUAGUCUAAAUUAUGUAAUUAAUUCAAAAUAUUUAGUCUUCAGAAUUAAAAUUAUCUCAAUCUCAUUUAAACCCAUCCGAAAUUUCCCUUCCCUAAAAAACAAAAAAACUCUUAAUAGCUUCCAAAACAUCCUUUUUAAUAAUUUUCCAAUAAUUAUGAUAGAAAAUUCCGCUAAAAUCAUUUGCAAAAAAAGAGAUUAAUUUAAUUGUUUUGUAUGCUUAACUUCUACAAUAUAAGUAAAAUCUUAUAAUUUUAUCUCUGAAUUCUCUCAACACAAAUUUCUGACCCUUAUUUAUAAUCUCAUUUGUUUCUAAGAGGAUAUCCAAUUUAAAAUUAAAUAGUCUUUUUUAUAUAAUGAAUUAUAUAUUUAUUUGAAUCUCCUCUUAAAUUAAUUAGAGUGAAGUUUCUUAUUUAGUAUUGACUGUUCCAUAAAGUAUUCAAAGUUUUCAAAUAGAUUUAUUUUUUAAGUGUAGUUAAUAACCGUAAUAAAAACUAAAUUUUAUAAGUGAUGAAUUUAUAUUAAGAAUUAUUUAAUAAAUUAAUAAAAUAUAAGUUUGAGUUCAUCUAUUUUUACAUUUCUUUCACCUACUUAAAUUAAUUCCUAAUUUUCCUAAUUUUUUUAAAUUUUAUUCCUAAUUUUUUUAUACAGGAAAUAUAAUCGAUGAGAAAAUAAUCGAGUUAGGAAAGAACAUGGUUAAACAUUGUGCAGGGCUGCCAUUAGCCAUUGUUGUAUUGGGAGGAAUUUUGGCUACAAAGAAUUAUUCAUUAAACGAAUGGCAAAAGAUAUCUGACAAUGUAAAAUCAUACUUGAAGAGAGGCAAAAAUCAGGGACCAGAGGAUGUGUUAGCAUUAAGUUAUGAUGAUUUGCCUCCUUAUCUAAGACCAUGUUUCCUCUAUCUAAGCCAUUUUCCGGAGGAUUACACGAUAGAUGUGGAUAGAUUGAUUCAAUUCUGGCUUGCUGAAGGUAUUGUGUCAUCAAAGCAAGAAAAAAGAGACGGUGGGGAAAUUGCGGAAGAUGUGGCGGAGUCUUAUUUAAUGGAGCUUGUGGAAAGGUGCAUGAUUCAAGUACGAGAAAGAGAUGUGGCAACCUUAAAGGUCAAAAAGAUUCAAAUGCAUGAUCUGAUGAGAGAUCUUUGCUUAUCAAAGGCAAAACAAGAAAAUUUUGUCUUCAUUGUUGAUCGAUCGAAUGCAUCUUCAUUAUCUAUGAUUCGGAAGGUUCGUAGGGUUUCUGUGCAUGAGUCUUUUUUCAUACAAUGCAUUAAAAGUCCAAAUAUUCGAUCACUUUUGUUCUUCAAUCAGUGCUAUCCGGAGGAGGCAUUAGAAAAAUGUUUGCCCUUGGAAGUGUUGAAUUACGUUAAAAACCAUUAUGACGAUUGUUGUAAUCCACUAUUUUGGAUUCUUCAGAUUUCGGCAGGUUCUACAGUACGUCUUAAAUUUCGGGUAUUUUGGAGAUACAUGUUCAACAACUUCAAAUUGCUAAGAGUCCUAAACUAUGACAAAGCAAGAACGUCAUAUGGUUUUUGGCCCGGGUGGGAGUUACCCAGUGAUAUAGGGAAUCUCAUCCAUUUAAGAUUCUUGAGUCUAAAGGAUGUUCUGUUCUUCCGGACAAUGUUGCCAUCAUCUCUAGGCAACUUAAGGUGCUUGCAAACCUUGGAUUUAAGAGUUAGGAAUCACAAAAUUCAUGUACCUAAUGUGAUAUGGAGGAUGGAG
rnacentral:lncRNA from 1 species